GACUAUGAGCUUAAACCUGGAGGACGAAACAUACGAGUAACAGAAGAAACAAAACAUGAAUAUGUUGACCUUGUAGCCGGCCACAUACUUACCAAUGCUAUUCGGCCUCAAAUCAACGCCUUCCUCGAGGGCUUUAAUGAGUUGAUACCUCGUGAGCUCGUAUCCAUUUUCAACGACAAAGAGCUCGAGCUCCUAAUCAGUGGAUUGCCUGAGAUUGAUUGUAAGUUGGAUCCUGUUGUUCAAUAUUGUUGCAUGUAUUUGCUUAUGCAUCAGGUUAUUUUAACAGUCUCAUGUUAUUUCGUUGUUUAGUUGAUGAUCUUAAAGCCAAUACCGAGUAUACCAGCUACACGGCAGGAUCUCCUGUUAUUCAUUGGUUCUGGGAGGUCGUUAAAGCUUUUAGCAAAGAAGACAUGGCUAGAUUUCUUCAAUUUGUCACCGGAACAUCAAAGGUAAACCAAAUAGUAGCACCGCUUCCGUCCAAGUCACUUGAAAUGCAUUUCCUGAUAUAUCCGUAUUUGGCUUCUUUCUGCUGGUGGAUGAUCUCGAUCUCCUCCUGCCUCGCUCUUGUGUAACGAUAGAUAAUCGCAAAAGAGGGAAAUCAUCUUUUGUUUUACGAAGUGAUUGGGUCUGUUUUUUUUUACAGGUUCCUUUGGAAGGUUUCAAGGCUCUGCAAGGUAUAUCUGGCCCUCAAAGAUUACAAAUCCACAAAGCGUAUGGAGCUCCGGAGCGGCUGCCAUCAGCCCAUACAUGGUUCGAAAUCAAUACAAAGCCUUUCCUUAAUACAAAACGGUUCAAUCUCGCCUUGAUUCUCAUUGGUUACGUCUGUUUUGUUCUGUUGCAGUUUCAACCAACUAGACCUCCCUGAGUAUCCAUCCAAGGAACAGCUUCAGGAACGCCUGCUACUUGCCAUUCACGAAGCCAGUGAAGGUUUCGGGUUUGCUUGAGCUACGCUUCUCGAAACCGUCACACCUUCAGAACCAGUGAAAACCCCCUUCAAUCCUUCAUUCUUUCGGCUCCCCUGUACAUGUAAGUAAGCUUCCAUACUUGUUUGAUACCCAAAGAAAAAAAGAUUGACCAUAAAGUGCUGGUUUGUUUGCCACACAAAUCUCAAGUUUUCAUUGGUUCCGUGGCAGAGACCGAAGAUUUUCUGGCAGGAUAAGGAGAAGAGCUUUCGAGAAAGUCUGCAGAAUGAAUACAAAACUCAAGAGGCUAUUUUUAUAUGUCCAUAUAUGUUAGUAUUAGACCAUUAGGGUUUAUGUUUCUCUUUAGAUUUUGUAAAGCAAAAAUCUUUGAAAUAAUUGCUGGCCUUUCUUUUGAGUUUGAAUACACCGGCUCUCUCUUUCCAUUACAUAAACGCGAUACAAGUGCAGGCGGAUAAAGCUAAGACAACUGAUUUAACUGUCACGGUCACUGGCAUUUUCCCUUUGUCGUUCCUCAACAACAUGCCUUGAUACAGAGGCCAGUUUAGUACCACAAGUACUCCUGUUAUCACAAUCUGCAUGCCCAUUGUCUGAAAAUGUUCACCGUCUCUUGAAGUGAUCAGUCUCAUAGCCGCUGCAGCGAAGCAGAAGAGAUUGAGCAUCCCGAGUGUUCCGAGGAGGAGAAACAUCGGAGACUCCACUCCAAACUCCAUUACCUCUUUCUCGUAUCUCUCUGCUGCUUCUUCCUCUGCUACUUUCGCCGUGAUUACAAAUGCAGACUCCGAAGCCCCAAGUUUCUUCAGAAUCGUGUCCGUGAAUCCGAAUACAAACGAGCUUGUUCUUCUAUAAAGCCACAUCCUUUGCUCGUUCCACCAUCCACGGAACGUUCCUCCGCACCACAAGAACUCGGCUAGGCUAUAGGAAUUAACUGCGACAGUCACGUAUCCAAAUGGGAAAAACCACGAGCUUGAGACCUGGAUUCAAAGACCAGAUCAGUUUUACCUGAAUGAGAUUCCGGGUUUAUGACAAACACAUAAAGAAACAGAGGGAAAGCCCUUUCUUUACCUUUGGAAACAGAGGAAUGCCUUUGAGUAGACAGAGAGAGGUCAAAACAGAGUAAACAAGCACAGGUACUGAACUUGGUGCCCAAAGGCAAAAGCAACAGUAACCAAGUAUCAGUCCCAAACCAAUCUUUCCGUGGCCAUACCAAACCGGACUAUACUCUGAAAGCAGAACCUGAAAGUCUCCCUCUGACUCUGCUGCACAAGCAUUUGAUGCAAAUUUGUCGGCGCUACCCCGACAAAAAGCUUUCUUUUUUGGGUUCAGGUACGCUAAUUUCCAUCCAUGGCAUUGAAUCGCUAAACCGGUUAUUACAUCUUCUACCGGGCAUAACCAUAUUUUACACCCAUCUGCAAUGGAAACAACCAUGGUUUACUUGGUUUUCAAUGAAUGAGACACUGGUUUAAUUCCGGUCCAUAUAUAAAUUUUCCAUACGACGAAAAAAAAUAUAAUAAUACAUAUGUUUUUGAGCAUUUUGUCCAUCCAUAUAUUAAAUCAUCAUUUACAACAUACCAAUAUAUUCUUUUUCAAUGUGCCAAUACACAAAAUCCUCAAAAAUCAACAAAACAAAAAAUAUUGAUUUAAUAACGUGAUACAUAGCUUACCAUCAACGAUGUUCUAUACACCAAAAUAAACUGCGAGAACCCAUCACUGUACUUCAACCGCGCCUCCUCAGGUACUCGCCGGAGUUUCGUCGCUGUUUCAAUCCUCGCCGCCAUUUCUCUAUACAACUCAGCCACCUCCUUGGCCACAGCAGAAUCAAGAACAUUUGCCGUGGAAGACAAGUAAGCCGCUGGAGAUCUCGGCUCAACGUUGAAUCUCUUACAGAAUGGAACCCAAAUUCCGGCAAACUCAGCUGCCUCCGCGAGGGCAUAGAACGUGAGCUCAGAGCCACCGUCAUCUGAGAGAUAUACGGCGAGUUUCUCCGGUGGAUAAUCGAGAGCCGUCACAGAUAAGAAAGUGUUAACAACCAUCAACGGCGGCUCAAUCACCGGAUCCGCCGUGCAGACGAAAACGUCGAGCGUGGGAAGAUCGUUCCCGUACCUCCGGGAGAGUCUGUCGGUGAAGGUAAAUCGCCAAACCGGAUUCCACCGGAGAGACUGUACGACUACCCAAUACAAACCGAACCAAAUCUCCAUGAUUAAGAUAACCAACCAGACAAUUGGAACGAAACUGGUCCGGUUCUCAUCAAUCUCUACCGGUAUGGUCACUCUGUAGAACCAAAUCCAACAGAUACAAAAGAAAACCGAGGCUGAGAAAACCCGGUACGAGAUCACUCUUCCGGUUUUCCUCCUGGUGACAAAAAGCGGUUCGCCUUGGUGAACCGGUCUAAACGGGUCAUCUUCUUUUCUCAUGUUUUUUGUCUCUCUGAGUAGGAAGGGAGUGGGAAAGAUAAGAGAAGCGUGUCUCUUGUUCGCUAUAUAUCCAAAAUACAGAGAUUAGUGGAGGCUGUAAUUUUGGACAAUUUCAAAAAGACGAAUAGAGCAUUCUCUUGACGUCAGCAAUUAUUUUUUUCUUUCCUUCGGACAAAAACAGGUCAGAGAUUAGAGAUAGCGUCCAAUAAUCAAAGAUGAGACUUAUCUCUUUUUUUCUGAACGAAUAAGAUGAGACUUAUUAAACAAAAGAUAAAGGCUGAAGCUGAUGUUUCUUAGGCUUUUAGCAAAUGGUUGGUGAUGAUGAAUAAAAGUAUCAAAAUGGGCUGUCCAUGUCUAUUUAGGCCCGUCCAAUUGUCCAAUUUGAUUGUGGACAAAUGGUGUUCAUAUCCAUUAACGACUAUGUCCAUUAACAACCAUAUCCAUUAACGAUCUAAAUGGGCUGUCCAUCAGUAUCUAUUGGACACAUAGUAUAAUAUAUUGUUUGUUUUUGUUUUUUUCUUUGUUUUAUAGAUAAUUUUUUGUUUUUCGCAUUUUUCAGAAAAAAAAACACAUGAAAAAAUAAUUUUAUAUUUUUGCAAAAAAAAUGAUUUUGCAGAUUUAACGAGGAAAUUGUUUCUGCGUUUUGCCGAGAAACUGGAAUUUUGAGUUUUUGGCAGAAAAUCGAGAUUUUGCGUUUUUGGCAGAAAAUCAAGAUUUUGCAUUUUUAGCGGGAAACCAAGAUGGAAACCAAGAUUUUUCGUUUGGUAGAAAACUGAGAUUUCUUAAUUUUGCGUUUUUGGCAGAAAAUCAAGAUUUUGCAUUUUUAGCGGAAACCAAAAUUUUUCGUUUGGCGGAAAACUGAGAUUUCUUGAUUUUGCGAGAAAUUGAGAUUUUAUGGUUUUAGCAAAAAAUCAAAAUUUAGUAUUUUUUAGUAGGAAACUGAGAUUUUUUGUUUCCGUCAAAAAAUAGAAUUUUUCUCAUACUUGUUGUAUUCUUUGUACGAUAGAGAAUUUUUCAUUUGAUAUUAAUUAUUAUAAUAAUAAUAAUAUUGGACCAAAAUAAAAUAAAUAAAAAUUAAUAGUUUUGAUGUAGUAUUUUUUGUCCAAUAGACGGAAUGUCCUAAGUGUCCAACUCUAUUUUGUCCAUUAACAAAAAUGGACGAAACCUAUUUUAACUUGUUUCGAAAAUGGAUUUGUCCAUGACUAGUCCAAAAUACGUUAGACAUAGAGAAACUAUGGGCUUCCGGGCCCAUUUUGACACCUCUAGUACUGAUGAAUAUCAACAAUUAACAAAAAAAAAUUCUCAUCUAAUUUUGGGGAGUACUGAAUCAAAUCAAGAAUCACCAUGAACGCGUAUGACACAUGAUGUUGCGGAGAUCUUGGUUUCAUAACUGAAGAUUAAAGGGUCUCUGCAAAGACUGCAACAGUGUUGAUUUUGAAGAAGUAACUGCACUAAAAAAAAACAAGAUGAACGCAGAUUUGCAAUCUAUCUUAUGUGAAUGACCUGUUGUUAUUGAAAUUCAAAUUCAGGCUAUCCAUAUCGAUCAAUUCCAUAUCGGAAGGUUGUUGUUUGUAACACUUGUGUUUAUAUGCAAAGAUAUGAAAUGUUAAGUUUCAUAUGGGAUGUCCACUUCAUAUGGGAUGUUCUAAUAUUAAUAUAGCGCUGACAGAUAGCAAGAAGAAGCUUCUCUAUUUGCAAAUUGAUGUAAACAGAAAUGAGUUAUUUUUAUAUAUAUUACAUAACUACUUGACCAUUAUUUUUAAUACAUUUGACACUCAUUUUCCUUUACAAAAACGCAAUACAAGUGCAAGCAGAUAAAGCUAAGACAACUGAUUUAACUGUCACGGUCACUGGCAUUUUCCCUUUGUCGUUCCUCAACAACAUGCCUUGAUACAGAGGCCAGUUUAGUACCACAAGUACUCCUGUUAUCACAAACUGCAUGCCCAUUGUCUGAAAAUGUUGACCGUCUCUUGAAGUCAUCAGCCCCAUAGCCGCUGCAGCGGAGCAGAAGAGAUUAAGCAUCCCGAGUGUUCCGAGGAGGAGAAACAUCGGAGACUCCACUCCAAACUCCAUUACCUCUUUCUCGUAUCUCUCUGCUGCUUCUUCCUCUGCUACUUUCGCCGUGAUUACAAACGCAGACUCCGAAGCCCCAAGUUUCUUCAGAAUUGUGUCAAUGAAUCCGAAAACAAAUGAGCUUGUUCUCCUAUAAAGCCACAUCCUUUGCUCGUUCCACCAUCCACGGAACGUUCCUCCGCACCACAAGAACUCGGCUAGGCUAUAAGCAUUAGCUGCGACAGUCACGUAUCCGAACGGGAAAAACCACAAGCUCGAGACCUGGAAUCAAAGAUCAGAUCAGUUUUACCUGAAUGAGAUUCCGGGUAUAUGACAAACACAAAAAGAAACAGAGGGAAAGCUCUUUCUUUACCUUUGGAAACAGAGGAAUGCCUUUGAGUAGACAUAGAGAGGUCAAAACAGAGUAAACAAGCACAGGUACUGAACUUGGUGCCCAAAGGCAAUAGCAGCAGUAACCAAGUAUCAGUCCUAAACCGAUCUUUCCUUGGCCAUACCAAACCGGACUAUACUCUGAAAGCAGAAUCUGAAAGUCUCCCUCUGACCAUCUCCUCUGCUGCACAAGCAUUUGAUGCAAAUUUGUCGGCGCUACCCCAAGAAAAGCUUUCUUUUUAGGGGUCAGGUACGCCGAUUUCCAUCCGCGGCACUGUAUCGCUAAACCGGUAAUUACAUCCUCUACGGGGCAACCAUAUUUCAGACCCAUCUGCCAUGGAAGCAAAACCCGGUUUACUUCCCUAUCAAGAAACCAGAAACCGGUGGAGUAAGUGAAGUAUUAAUCAAUGCUUUUACCUCCUUUCCCCAUUGAGAGUUUUCUUCAUAAGUGCAGCUCGCGAGAGCUUUAAUCAUCUCAGGCUCUAAAAUUUCUUGAAUUUCCUCAGAUUCUUCUUCUUCUACCUCUCCAUACUUUCUUCCACAGAUCACGUCUCUUCUGUGAAAGCAGCCAGUCCCAAUGUACAGCGGUCCGCCAUUUCCAUCCAGUCCAUUAAACUCCACCUUUUGUUUUUUCACAUCCCAAAACACACAGGUUAGAUAAGACAACAACAGAAUCAAUAUAUCAAAAAUCCAGAAUCUAUGUUGUGUUUUCUACUGUCUCUGUCUCUAUAACUUACAUCAGCUAUUACUCGCAUCAUGCUUCCAUACAAAUCAUUCCUAGUAAUGUUCUCGUAACACUGCGGAAACUGCACGAAGGCAAUCUCCUUUCCCUCUUUCUCAUCAAGUAGGAUGCAGAGCGCGUCUAGUGCUGACUUUGAGUUGUUUGAGUACAUAUCGCAGUCCAGGUUAAGUAUGAUUCUCCCACAGGUUAUCUUCGAAGAAACCCUUAUCUGAUCAAAGAAACAACCAUAUCAAAAGGGCGACCAAUCGAGGAGAAAUCAGAAUGGCUUGUGGAACAAGAAACCAUUACCAAUGCGUUCAUAGCUCCAGCCUUGAAAUGAUGAUGAUGUUGAGGUCUCUUCUCCCUUGAUAGAUACACCAACGUUGGUAUUGCUACUGUGUUCUUUUUUCUUCCGUCUACCAAAAUCUGAUGCAACAAAAUAAACAAUCUAAAGAAUCCACUUUUCCGAUUGCUGAAUAACAGAACAUAACCCUAAAAAACCCUAUUGCUUACUUGAAGAAUGGUUCCAUGGUUUCUCUGAGUAACGUCAGAAUCCCACUGCGAGAACCCAUCACCGUACUUCAACCGCGCCUCCUCAGGUACUCGCCGCAGUUUCGUCGCCGUUUCAAUCCUCGCCGCCAUUUCUCUAUACAACUCAGCCACCUCCUUGGCCGCAGCAGAAGAUUCAAGACCAUUUGCCGUGGAAGACAAGUAAGCCGCCGGAGAUCUCGGCUCAACGUUGAAUCUCUUACAGAACGGAACCCAAACUCCGGCAAACUCAGCUGCCUCCGCGAGGGCAUAGAACGUGAGCUCAGAGCCACCGUCAUCUGAGAGAUAUACGGCGAGUUUCUCCGGUGGGUAAUCGAGAGCCGCCACAGAUAAGACAGUGUUGACCACCAUCAACGGCGGCUCAAUCACCGGAUCAGCCGUGCAAACGAAAACGUCGAGCGUGGGAAGAUCGUUCCCGUACCUCCGGGAGAGUCUGUCGGUGAAGGUAAAUCGCCAAACCGGAUUCCACCGGAGAGAUUGUACCACUAACCAAUACAAACCGAACCAAAUCUCCAAAGUUAACAUAACCAACCAGAUGAAUCGAACGAAACCAGUUCGGUUCUCAUCAAUCUCCGACGGUGCGGUAACUCGGUAGAACCAAAUCGAACAGAUACAUCCGAAAACCGAGGCCGCGAAAACCCGGAACGUAAUCACUCUUCCGGUCCUCCUCCUGGUCACAAAAAGCGGUUCACGGUCGCCUUCUUGAACCAGUCUAAACCGGUCGUCUUCUUUCCUCAUGUUUUUUUUUUUUUUGAUUAUUUUUUCUCUGUAAGGCGGCGCCAAGUGGGAAGGAUAUGAGAAGUGUCUCUCUGGUAGGUUACUUUACUUAUAAUAUGUAUAGAGAGAUUAGUGGAGACAUUGUUGUCCAAAAAGGAACGUGGACUUCCCUGACGUCAUUAGAAUCGUCAGCAACUAUGUUUCAGUUUCAGACAAAUGAUGACAGGUAGGCGUCAAGGAUCAUGAUUAAACUUCUUAAUCUUAUCAGAUGACGUUUUCGUUGACUUUAGCACUUGGUUUGGUUAGUGAUUAAAAUAAUAGUCAAAGAGUAACAAACUUCAUUUCAAUUUCUUAUAAUAUUAUCUUGGGAGUACUGUAUGCCUCUGACUCGUGAUGUUGCAGAGAUCUUGUUUUCACAUUUGAAGAAAAAGCGCUCUGCAACAAUGGAGAUUCAUAUAUGAAGCAAACAGAGUAACAAGAAGCUUCUCUACUUGCAAAAGAAGGUAAACAGAAAAUGAGUUCUAUAUAUAUAUAUAUAUAUAUAUUCGAUCAUAAGAUCCAUUUCGAGGAAAUUGUGUUUCCCUUUCUUCUUUUUUUUCAAACAACCCUGCAUCUAGCUGAUGCAAGCAAAUCUAGGAAUACAAUCUUGAGAUGCUAAACAAGUAAAGCUGACUCUUAUCUUAAAUACUGCUCAUAAACUUUAAACCAGAGAAAAUUCCGGUUUUUGUUUCAUCUUGGUCGGCAAACUCGUGUUAUAAGACGGCUCAAAUGAGGAAUCAGACCUUCUGGUCAUUUCCAAGCUUCUGGAACUCAGAUUCUAAGGUAUCGAAUAUCUUGGUGCCUUCCGUGUCUGGCUCAGGGAACCUAACGUGGACCGAACCAUGUCUGAUCGGUGCACUCGACCCUUUAACCAGAGCCUGUUGCUUGACAUAGUUGUAAAGCUCUUGGUGGAAAGAGUGAUCCAAUGAGAAACAAUUGUCUACUGUUCCAUUUGAGAUAUGCCUACCAGAUCCAGACCCUUCUCUUCUACAGAAAUGUGGCAGAGACUCGUAGUCCAUUAUCUGCAUUAGGUUUAAAACUUUCAGCAAGAAGCUAUACUUUGAAUCGAUUUUGGCAAUGAGCUUCGCUUGUCAAUUGCUUACCUUUAGCAACUCAUCUUUCCCGCAGCCUUUCAGCACUUGAAUCUUCUUCUUUGUUCUCUCCUGCAACAGAGGCUUUAUGGUUUUCCAACAAGCAGAGAAUAUGUAAGGGACAUUGACAAUAUAAUAUGUCUCUGUCUUCUCUGGGUAGUUUAAAUCAUCAAUUGUGGUUAUAGCUGUCAUUAACUGCGCAAAAAGAAAAGAAACACACCAUGUGAUGAAUAAUAUAAAUACAAAUAAAAGCUACAUAAAUCAUAAGCAAAUGUAGAUUACUAAAUUUAGCUAAAGAAGACAAAUAUGUAGAAUUAUUACCUUAAUUUGACUUAAAGCUGAAAGCUUUAAACCAGACAUAUCCAAAAUUUUCAAACAAGUGCAAAUUGGUCGUCCCUGUUUCUUUGUAGCAGAUGGCUACCAGACAAGAAUAUCACACAAUUAAGAUUUAUGAAAACAAGCAUAUGUAGAAAUGAAGUAGUAGGAGGAAAAAGCUAUUAAAAUAAAAAGAAAAGUUUUGGUCAUACCAAAACGACACGAUCCCGGAACUCAUUCAUUUGAAUGUGAGACUGUACAUAGUAGUGAACCUGAAGGAAGGAUCAGGAAGCUAUAUGGUCAGAGUUUCAACUUCAUAUCUCAAGUCUUUGUGUGGAAGAUGGAGAGACUUAAAAUGAACAGAGAUGCUUACGGAGGCUUUGUCAUAUGUGCUAAGCCCCACACCAAUGGCAAUGACAGGGAGACCCUUAAAAAGUUGAUGAACAUUUCAACAAAGUUAGUUUUGAUCAAACAUGCCUAGUUGUGAUGCUUGUUGAAAGUCAAAAGUCAGAGAAAGAAAGAGACUCAAAACAAGUUAGAACUAACUAGUAGUACCUCUUUUGAAUAACCAGAGAUACCGACAAGCUGAGAUUCUCUGAUUGCUCUGUACAGGUCAACAGGAACGAUGGGUUUCUACAAAGAAAGAAAGAAACCAAAAAAAUUCAAUUUAUCGGAUGAGAUAAAAAGGGUCACAGAAGUUUAUCGUUGAGAAUAAUUUCAGUGAAGAAAAGCAGAAGACUCACUGUAAGAAUCUUGUCAAUCUCGUUUUGAGUCCUCCAUUCUAAACACUCAAGCAACUGCAAACAUAUAGUUUUAAGCCCCAAGAAGGCAAAUAAUAUAAGAAACAAAGCAUCAAAGACAAUCUGGAUUAGGUGAAAGCAAACAGAUUUAUUAAACCAUUUUAUGAGCUUUCUGGACAUUCCAAUCCCUCGCUUUUAGAAAGCGCAACAAAGUCUCUGUUGGAUACCCUUGAUGAAUGUUCUGCAGCAUAACACAGGCAUUUUGUUAAAUCCACCAUUUUUAUUUAUUAAGCUCAAUAAAGAUCCAAGUUACAUUUUAACACCCAACUCAAAACUCUGGAUCAGCCAAUAUUCUAACUACAAAACUCCACAGAUCCAACAACAUUGAACCAAAUGCAAGAGAGAAGUGUCAACUUAGAGCUUGAUUCAAAUAUAGAUCCAGAUCAUUGCCGAUCAAAUACUCAUGACAAUCAGAUUGGUUCCAAUUGACCCCAACGAAAAAAAGGUUUUUUUUCUUUUCCGUUGCUACUUCGGUUUAUAGCCCGAAAUACCAAAUCAGAACAACCAAUCUUUGGCUCAAUAAGCAAAGAGUUGGAGUUGAAUCAUACUACGCAUCUAAAGAAAGAGGAAAGCAAGAAAAUUACUAACCCGAUACGACUCUCUCAGUGAUUCAUCAACUGUCAAUACCAGAAGAAGAAACCAAAACAAAAAAAAAAAUUAGGAUUUCGUCGGCGAUCUUGGAACAAAGCAAAGCUUAAAACAUGAAACACACAAAGAGAAAAAAAAAAAAAAAACCACACCAUCUUCCAUUAAAGUACGUAAUUGCUUGAUUGCUUCCUCACUAGAGAUGCCCAUUUUCUCUCUCUCUAUCUCUAGAGAUCUCAGCUCAGAUGUGAAAGAAAACAAAAAACCUGUAAACUCUGGGCAAAAGUUUCUGCGGGAAAUCUAAAGAGAGUAAAUCUCUGAUCUUACGGACAAUAGUUCCUCCGAGGAAGUGAGAGAGAAAUAAAGAAAUUAAAAAAAAAUGUGCACUUUUUAUUUUUUAUUUUUCUGUGGAAAUGGAGCGAAGAAUUAAGCUUUUAGAGAGAGAGAGAGAGAGAGAGAAAACUCUAAAGUUCUCUCUCUGCUUAAAGCCUUUCUUCUCCAAUGAGUUAGACAAAUAUCAUCUCAAGUUCUCUCUUGUAAUAAACACAAGAGCAAGUGAUUUUGGAUUUUCUUUUCUAAACAAAUACAAAAAGAAACAAUGAAUUUUCCGAUCAUGCUUCUUUUUUCCAUUUUUUGGAGAUUCCAAAAACAAUGAAUUUCCCUUUCUUUAUUUGGAAAUCUCCACUCAAAUUCAACCAUCUAAGAAAAGUCAAGGGAGAAUUUAAUAGUUUCACUUCAUUUUCCUCAAACUUUACUUAUUUUCUGAUUAUCGAUUAAAGUAAAAAUAUUCUUCCCGGAAAGAAAAAAAAUGAGAAGCCUGAGAUGGAAUUAUUAUUUAAUGACAUUUGCAUGCUUGAAACAAUUGGCCUUCCAUUAAUUAUUAAUAAUACUUAAUGUAGAUCAAUCGAUCGAUGAAUAGAUUGUUGGAUUAAUUUAGUGUAAUUAAUAAUAAUUUGUCAAAAGAUAUGAAAGGAAAACUCCAAAACGAGAACCAAUGAAUCUGAUUCUUUCGAAUUUGAUUGUUGAUAUCCAGUACAUACGCACUAGUAAAGAAAGAGAAAAAAAAAGUGAAUGUAAAUGAAGUAGGACUAAGUAAGUUUUCUGAUUAAUAUUUGAUCAAGACGAUGCCCAUAAUUAAUAACCGUGUGUCAUCUUCUUUCGAUACAGAAAAUACGUUUAGUUUGGCUUGAGAAUGCAACAAAAAAAGAAUAAGAUGCGUGCACCAAACAAUGUUUUAACGAGUAAAUAACAAAACUCAUUAUUUUAUGCAAAGAUAAAAAAGAAAUAAAGAAACAUAAAUGUCCAUCGUCAUGUGUUAGUUCUCCUCAUUCAAUCACAAAAUUAAAGACCCCAUAUGCCACAUGUGACAUGCAUCAUCGAUCGUGAACCAUCUUCCUUACUUUUUUCUUCUUUGUUUUAUUUUAUUUUCUGUCGGUUUUCUACUUAUUUCAACAAAUAUAAAAAUCCCAUUUAGAUACUCUCGAGUCUUAACAACAUACUAGAUUUUGCUUCCACGCUUGUUAAUAAAAAUUAUAUGCAAUCAAUUGUAUUUAUUAAGAUAUAAAUUUUAUAUAUUAGUAAUUUAAUAAUAUAUUAAAAAUAUUAUAAUGUUAAUAUAAUAAUUUUUAUGUAAAUUUUGAGGUUUUAACGGUUUUGUUUUAAAUCUAUAUACAAUAUGUCAUAUUUCAAAAACGUAUUAUUUAAUCAAACACUUAUAAGUUAAUACAACCAAAUCAACUAAAUUUUUUUAUAAAUUUGUCAAAUGGUACUUAUUAAACAUAAUAUUGACAUGAUGAUAAAAUAUUAUACAUUACUUCUUUAAAUCAUGAAGAUAAUUUUUUUAUCAUUUUCACUUUCCUUCAAUUAUAUAUGUAUUUUUUAAAAACAAUAAUAAAUUUAAAAUUUAAUUAUUUUUCUUCUCUUGUUUAACCGAUACAAAUUUUUAUUUUGUUAUAUUAAUUUAAAAAACAAGCUAAUAAAUAAAAUAUUUGCUUUGAGAUUAAUAACAACUUUAAAUUUGAAAUCAAAAUAAUAUUUGAAUAUAAAAUAAAGAAAAUCAUACAAAAUUUGUGAAUUAAAUAUAUUUUUAUCAAUUGGUUGUGUAAACGUUUAAAUACUUUUUCAAUGAUUAUACGUCAUUGAUUCUAAUAAGAAUGAAUUUUUUCAUCAUGUUCAUUUUUAUUCUUGUUAUAUCUGUUUUUUCAACUAAUAGAUCAUAUUUAUUUAUUUCAAUGAUUUUUGUAUGAUUAUAUUCAGUUUCAUCAGAUUCAAUCUUACUUCUUUUAAUUAUAUUUAAGUAGGCAGCCGGUACAAUUUAAUACAUAUAAAUUUAGAAAAACGAAAUAACAAAUUGAAAUCUCCUCAAAACUAAAAACUUCUACAUUAAUCUAUUGUAAUUCCAAGCCGAAUAUACAAAAUAUAAUUUUUUCGAUCAUUUUUUCAUAAUAUAUUACAUGAAAUUAUGUGGAAAUAUGUUUUGCAUAUGUGAAAAAAUUAAUAUAAAUUAUAAUUAUUAGUUAUUUAAAAUUUUACAUGAAAAGCCUUAAAAUCAAGUGACAUAAACUUGUAUAACUAAUAUAUAGUUUUAUAGAUAAUAAAUUAAAUUUCUAAUUAAAACAGAAAUAAUGAAGAUUUUAAUAGUAUGUUUUUUAUUAUUAGAGAUUUUUUAUUCUUUAAUUUACUUUCUUAAUAGAAUUAGGAAAUUUUUUUAAAUUUACAAUUUUGAUAUAUACGAAUAAAAUUUAAUUUUUAAAUGCUGAUGUGAAUGCCUUGAAAAUAACAUACCUUUAAUUUUUAUUCAUAAUAUAAUAGUUUUAAUUAACAAUUUUUUCUAUAUUGUUUUGUAUUAAUAAUAUAAUUUUAUAAUUUACUUUUUUUAAAAAAAUUUAGUUAUUGAUGUACACUAAUAAAAUUGACCUUUUAAAUCUUAUGUGGAUGUCUUUAGAGGCAUAUAGCUUCUAUAUUUAUUUUUCUAUAAACAUAUUUUUUGUUAACUAUAUAAUUUUAAAUUUUGAAAAUUUUUCUAAUUUGAAAUAUUGAUGUAGACCAAUCAAAUUGAACUUUUACAUCAUAUGGACAUUCUUAGAGGCAUAUAGCUUUUAUUUUUUUUUUAAUAAUAGAUUUAGAAAUCAAAGCUGGAAGAUCCCACACGAGGCAAGUGAUUAUGGUUUUAGGUUUACCGAAUGUAUUCGCAUGUUGCUUGGUCAGCUAAUUGUUACACUUUUGGUUAAUGUUAGGUUGUUAAAACCCCAUCAAAUGCCAUGUUAUUUCAAAAAUCUUCCUCGGAUACCUCAAUUUUCGGCUUAAUGACAGAACUUCUUUCUCUAUUUUCAGUGCUUCGUUUUUCAAAAGUGUCAUGAUUUUGGUCUUGCCUCCUUGUUUUUGAGGCUUACCGAAUGUAUUUGGAUGCUUCUUGCUCAGCCAAUUGUUACUUUUGUGCUUAAUGUUAAGUUGUUAAAACCGUAUCAGAUGCCAUGUUAUUUCAAAAAUCUUCCUCAAAUACCUUAAUCUCCUUCGUCUUAAUGACGGAACCUAUUUCUCUAUUUUCAGUGCUUUUUUUUUUUAAAGUGUCGAGUAUCAAUCACUUGACAUGUUUCUCGGAUUGCUUGAAAUUUAUCAUUCUUCUCAAAUUCGGUGGUCAAGCUUAUUUUUCGGUCUCUUUUUCGAUAUUAAAGCAGCUUGUAAUGGUUUUGUUUUAUAUAUCGUUUCAUUAUAUUCUUUGUAAUUUAGCUAAUAGUUAAACUUAUAGUUUAGCCAAGUUGGUUAUUUUACGUUGUAAUGAUUCAUUUUUUUGGGAAACCUAACUCUAUUUUUUUGUUUUUUGUUUUUUUGUUUUUAAUUUGAAAUGGUUGUACACACAGAAAAAAAACUUAAAAAUUAUUAUAGUUAUGUGACAAAAAUUUGGAUACUAAUGUAAGAAUCUCUAAAUAUGUGUGUAUACAUCUAAUUUAAAUUUAAAAUUUUCUUUUUUAAUAUUAUUUAUUUUAGUUUUUUAUUAUUAACAAAAAAAUUAUAUAUAAUUUCUUUAUCUUUAAUAAUUUUUAAAAAUAAUAAUGGAAUUUGAAAAAAAAAAAAAUUUCAAUGUUGAGGUGGACCAAUUAAAAAUUUAUAUAAAUUUUUUUAUUCAGCAAUAAUUAGAAUUUGUAAACUUUCUUAAUUUAUUUAGUUAGCAAUAAUAUUAAAAAUUUGUAAACUUUCCUUAUUUUUGAUUGUUGAUGUGGACCUCAGGAUGCCAUUUAUAGCUUCAGAUUUUAUUUUUCUAUAAAUAUUUUUUUGUUAACAAUACAGUUUUAAAAUUUGAAAAUUUUCUUAAUUUUAAAUAUUGACAUGAACCAAUAGAAUUGAAAUUUUAAAUCAUAUGUGGACACUUUUAGAGGCAUAUAACUUCAGGUUUUAUUUGUAAUAUAUUUAGAUAUUAACGCUGGAAGAUCCUACAUGAGGCCCGUUACGGCAAGUGAUUUUGGUUUCUCCUCCAUAUUUUGAGGCUUACGGAAUGUAUUCUGAUACUGUUUGGUUCAGCUAAUUGUUACCUUUGUGGUUCAGGUUGUAUUGCUAAACCUUUGUCAGAUGUCAUGUUAUUCCAAAGAUUUUUCUCGGAUACCUCAGUCUUUUUUGUCUUAAUGCAGAACCUCUUUCUCUAUUUUUAGUAGUUCGUUAUUCAAAAAUUUUGGGUAUCAAUCACUUGACAUGUUUCUCGGAUUACUUGAAAUUUAUCAUUCUUCUCAAAUCUGGUGGCAAAACUUUAGAGAUUUUACGGUCUCUUUUUCAAUAUUAAAACAGAUUGUAGUGGCUUUGUUUUCAUCAUAUUCUUUUUAAUUUAGCUAAUAGUUAAACAUAUAGUUUAGUAAAAUUGGUUCUUAAUUUUACAUUGUAAUGAUUCAUUCUUUAGUGAAACUUAACUCUAUUUUUUGCUUUUUUAAAUUGAAAUGGUUGUACACACAUAAAAAAACUUAAAAUUUAUUAUAGUUAUGUGACAAAAAUUUGGAUGCUAAGGGCAGGAUUAUCGCGGUAUACAACAGGGUUUCUAAAUAUUAUUUUAUAAUUUUUUAAUCAAUUGGUUUGAAAACUUUUCGGGAACGUCUCUUAUUUUGAGACUAAAAGAGACGUCUCUACUUUCUCUCUCCCUCUUUUCUUCUUCCACGUGGUCAUUCUUCUCAAUUUAAUAAUAAAAAAAAACUAAGAGAUCCAAAUAAGAGUAUCAGCGAUAAUUAUGGUCUAAUGUAAGAGUCUCUAAAUAUAUGUGUAUACAUAUGUAAAUAAAUUUUAAUAUUUUAUUUUUUCUUAGUUCUUUAUAUAAUUGAAACAUCUAAUUUAAAUUUAAAUUUUCCUAUUUUAAAAUUAUUUAUUUUAUUUUAUUAUUUUAAAUUUUAUAUAUAAUUUAUUCAUCUUUAAUAAUUUUUUAAACAAUAAUAGAAUUUAGAAACUUUUUUAUUUUUAAUGUUGAGGUGGACCAAUAAAAAAUUUAUACAAAAUUUCUUUAUUCAACAAUAAUAUUAGAAUUUGUAAACUUUCUUAAUUUUUUAUUUAACAUUAAUAUUAAAAUUUAGAAAUUUUCUUAAUUUUGAAUGAUAAUGUGGACCAAUAAAAUUGUUAAUUUCCUUAUUUAACAAUAAUAUUAAAAUUUAGAAAUUUUCUUAAUUUUGAAUGUUGACGUAGACCAAUAAAAUUUAUCUUUUACAUCCUAUGUGGACACCCUGAAAAGCAUUUAGUUUCAACUUUUAUUAUUAAUAUAUAUAUAUAUAAGAUCCCCUAUAUUCCAUUUUUUCUUUUCUUUUUUAUUUUGUUAAAAUGCCUAUAUAUUCUAUUUAUUAUUAUUAUUAUUAUUAUUUUUCUAAUUAAAUGCAUGCAUCUAAAAUUGGACCUAACAUCUGGCGUACGAAAAAAUCCCUACCACCCUUCAAAAGAGAUAAUAUUCUCCAUUAUGUGUCUAUUGAAUUUAAACCCGAAAAACAAAAGAACAAAAAAAACUCAUCCCGUGAUUAAUUACUCAAUAUAUAGACAGACGAAGAAGUUAUAAUUCUUCUGUACAUGCAAUCUUGAUAGAUUUUUUUAUUUUUUUUUAACGAAUUGACUGUAAAUAAGAUAUUACAGUCUACAAAAACUUGAUGGUAGUGAUUAAUUGGGUUUUUAUUACACUGGACAGAUAUUGAUUCAGUUUCGGAGACAGAAGUAAGCACAAGACGAUAUCCAAAUGUCAUUGCAAGAAGAAUCCAAACUUGUUGAACACCUAUAUAGCUCCUUUCAGAGUUACUGUGUCGAACGACGACGAGCUCUGCAAAUGUUCUGCAUAUCCUCCAUUAUAAUGCUUCCACAUUCGAAAGCUUCUCGCUUGAAUACCGAGCUUUGAGCAGCAGUCUAAAGCCGUACGUAUAGUGCAUGAAUGAUAAGUACUUCAACUUUCGUAUGUGCUGCAUAAACCAAUAUACUGUAUACCAAGAAAAUUAAUGAGUUAAUUAGAGCAAGUACAUUAGUGAACCCCUCUUUGGGGUUCACCAAAAUAAAAUAAUAGUUUUUUUUGUUUUGAGUUUAUUGAAGAACCUGUGCUAUAAUUAAAAUUCCAUUGGUGAACUCUAGAGAAAGGUUCAUCAAGAAUAAAAAAUAAUUUUUGAAGAAGAAAAUUAAUGAGUUAAUUAGUAUCACAUGCAUGGAUGAUGGAUAUCAUAUCGUCUUGAAAUAUUUAAAAACUUUGUCAUAAAUUUUGACUAAGUAGUAUUUAAAAAGUUUUUAUAUAGAUACCGACAAGCUGUAAUAUAGAAGCGCAGCAAAAUGGAUCAACUAUAUAACCAACCUGCAACUUUUCUUUCUUUCGUUGGUUCGUUCUUUCUGUGUUAGUUUGAAGCAAAAGAAAGACAAAUAUUUUACUAAAAAAGGUACUUUUUAUUUCACCUUUACUUUAUCGCUUCGCCAACGAAAACGGCGUCGUAUAGCGGGUAGUUGACAAAUACAGUAGUGUUCCUUUCUUCUUCUUUCGUUGUUCGUCUUUUGAAGGAAGAACAACACAACGCAGAGAAGAAAAAUGGACGAUUCGCGGGAUAUAUUGAUGUCGACAUUGAUAGAAUCUGGGGUGUUGAUUCCCGGAGAUUUCUCUUCCGUCGGAAAAUUUUCUUCAGAAGCUUUGGUAUCGAUCUGCGCUCAGUUGCUUAAUCUCAUUAAUCCAUCGGCGUCGUUUUGCGAUGACUUACCUGAUUCUCUCCCCGAAAGGUUUAAGAUCUGCACCGAUAUCGCUCUGUCUGUGACGAACCUAGGCUACAUCGGCGACAUGAGUUAUUAUAAGGUACCCUGUUCCCUCUUUAGAUCGCAAGCAGAAUGUGUCGGAGAAUCUAUGAUUAAGCAUAUCUUCUUUGAUUAAAGGAAACAACUUUAGGAUUUAAUAUACCUAAAGGAUCAUGCUUUUACAGUGGAAUUGAUAGAUGAUGCGUGGUGGUCAUAAGAACUGAUUGCAGUGGAGUUUGUAGAUUAGUGACAAACUAGCACCCAUUCGUCUUUCAUAUAUGAAGUAUCGAAUGAAGCAUUUUUUUCUUUCUGCAUUUGUGAUUCUGCAAUAUCAUGAGGGUGAUGUGCUGUGAGACGAUUCUCUAGAGCUGUGAUAGUCGUUUUGGUUUAAUCUGUUGAAGUUUACUUUCCGUUCUGGCUGUGUGGCUUUCCUUAUCUGUUUGAAAUCAUGCUGAAACAGAUUGUAUGUGUUGCUUGCGGCAGUUUCUGCAUCCAUCCCAAGAUGACUCGUAUAGGUUGAUUAGAUUUUUGGUUGAGAGGCUUUCGGAGGAAAAUGAAGGAAUAAAAACUUCUACGGCUGGUGAUAUAGCUAGCAGGCCAAAGGUGGAGAAUUUCACAGAUAUUUCAGAUGACAGAAUGGUGAAGGAGGACAAUGAUGAGACUUUUGAUAUGCAUAUACAGAAGGUUGAAGCUGUCCUAAAAGAUCUUACUAUGACUACUGAAAUCUCUCAUGCAAAAAGUUCUUCAGCCAAUGGUUCAACCAUUGUUGACCUCUUCUCCAUUGCUGAUGAAGCAUCGGGUCUUUCUAUGAGACACGAAGAAGAUUCCUCUGUUGACCCGUCUGAGGUACUGUUUCCCCUGCUUAUCUUGACCUUAUCUCCUUUUACUGUACACGGGCUUAUGUUUGAACAUAUACAUAGGAAUAGUGAUGCCAAACCUUUAUGGAGAAGAGAGGUUAUCUCCUUUUAAGGCUUAACCUUUAUCAUUUUUAUGCUUUGUAGACAAAUUAUGAGACUUUUGAGCUACAGAAUCAGCAUAGUUUACUCUUGGAGGAACUAGAAUCUGGAUGUUCAGAGCUCUGCAGUCUUGACAGUGAACUGGAGUUGUUGAAGAUGGCUGCAGAGAGGUUAUUGGAUGAUAAACAGCCGGGUGGGUCAUGUCUCGAGCAGCUUAAUCAACAAAUAGUGGUCAAAAAGUGUAAUAUCAUGGAUCUUAAAAAGCAAUGGUAUGAAUAACGAUUGUUCUAUAAUUUUUCAGUUGAAAGCAUUCAUGCAUUCAAUUUCAUGGACAACACAGGAUAUGAUAACCUGGAAUAUAUAUAUAUAUAUACAACCCGUGUUUAGCAUUACGAAUAUCACGAUUAUGUAGUAUAUCAUGUCUUCCUCCAGGGAAGAUGCGAGGCAGACUUUGGAAGCAAGAAAGCUACGUCUUUUGGACCAGCUUCAUGUGGAGGAGUCAGAGGCUAAAGCGAAAUUCCAUAAGCUGAAAAAGACUGAACUGGAAUUACAAUCUGUCUCAUCAGAAAUUCAAAAGAGGUAAGCAGAGAACUCCUACCACAUGACCCUUCAUUGUCUAUUUUGGAAAUUAGAGAUGUAUAUACUUCUUAAGUUCAUUUGUUGAGUAAUAACUGUGGGACGAAUAAUAAAAAUCUAUAAGAAGGAAAAAGAAAUAAACAAGUGUUUGCAGGUCACCUCGAACAGGGUAUUUCAUUGACUCUCGUAUCAUAUUAAUGUGUUAAUUUUUUUUUCCGACAGGGAAGAUGAAAGAUGUAGCCUGUACACUGAACUUGAGAGGCAGCCAAAAGCAGCGCCGCGGAAGUCUUAUAUACAUGGGAUUAAAGAAAUAACAAAAAAUAGCCGUAAACUGGACAGUGAUAUUCAGAGGAUUUCAGGGGAGACGAGGGAGCUACAACUAGAGAGUAACUCAAUCCAAGAACGCCUGCACCGAUCAUAUGCUGUUGUAGAUGAAAUGGUUACAAGGUAUGAAUUUUUGCAUUGUCUGGUCAAAAUCGUCCGAUAUGCACCAAAAGACAAGGUGCCAUGUCGCUCUGCUUUAGAGAACAUGUAUUUCCCGUUGUACGUACUGAGCUGAUGAGGAUGGUUUUUCUUUUUUUUUUCCUGGCAGGGAAGUGAAAAAGGAUCCAGCCGUACGACAGGUCUACAAGCUUGUGACCAGUAUCCAUGGUAUUUUUGAGCAAAUUUCUGAAAAAAUCCUUAUGACUGAUCGGUUAAGAAGAGAAACAGUCGACUACGAGAAAAAGCUGGGCUCCAUCACAGCUCGGGGCAUGAAUCUGGAGAAUUUACAAGCAGAUCUCCAUGCCAUCAGAAAAGAGAACGAAAGUCUUGGGAAAUAACUAAUUCAAUGUGGUUUUGAAAUUACUAAAAGAUGUACAUUUUAUAGAGUUUUUGAGGCAGUGUUUGUUUAUAGAGUGAGUAAUCUUUUUUCUCGCAUACUAAUGACUAAACAGAAGCAAAGGCUUAGUCAUAUAUGAUAUUCCAUAUGAUUGGGAAUAUCAGGCAAAACUAUUCCACAGGGGAAUACAGACAAAAGAGACAUCAUCAGUUUCACAAAAACUAUUCCAUAGGGAUCUUCUUCCUAAGCAUUCAUUCUUCAUGUAUUGUUUGGAUGGUCUCACACCAAAAAAUCAGGCAAAACAAUUUCUACUUUGAAGCACAUCUUCUUCCCUCCCCUCUUGUAAUUGUCAACCUAAAUUCCACUGGGAUGAUAUUUCCUAAGUAUUUACACCCAAAAAUCCAGACUUUAACACCUCUUUUACACGUUUGAUGUGUAUCUUUAUAGCUUCUUCCCACCGGCCUACUAGUUGUUGACCCGGUUCGUUACAGCAACUUGAGGAUAAGCAAUGUGUGAGUGUCCUAUGGGUUCAGCCAUAGCCAUUGUGGUGUGUGGCGGUGGCGUUACUGUCUGAUAUGUAGUUGGCUGAACGGCCAUGGAGUGCGAUGGUUGGUGUACUCCCAUGAGCCCAUUAUGACCAGCCUGCACGACUGGGAAACCAAGUGGCUGACCUUGCAGGGCUAGGUUGUACAUUGGAUUCACCUGCAGGUUGCCAAGUCCCUGCCCAAUCCACGCAGCUGCACUUUCAGUCUGCAACAACAAUAUCAUGAUUACCAAUUAGUGUUAAUAAUACUCACCAACUACAUCAAUGCAAAGAUAAAACAGAAAACAAACAAAAAAACUGACCAUUGGUGGUGAAGUCUGUUCUUCACUAUGGAUAGAGUUGAAGGCGGUUGCAGAUGGGAUGUGAGUAGCAACUGUGGAAGAGGCAUGUGGGGAUGGGUUUGUGGUAGGAGGGUUCUCAGUGUCGCCUACUGGUGGUAUAUGGGUAGGUGCUGCUAGAGCAGCUCCUGGUGGAAAAUAAGACUGCUGAGGAAUCCCAUUUGGGCUCAAGAACUGGUGAAUGUAUGGCGGUGGCAUAUAAAACGGUGAGUAAUAAGGACCAUAAGGGAAGAAACUGGGAGGGUAUUGUUGCCUAAAAAGAUGAGUCGCCUGCUGAGAGGCUGCUGCUAUGGAGCACUGAUCUGGCGGAUAUGAUACUAAUGAUAUAGCUGGAGCAUUCGAAUUUCCAGGCUGCAAUUUGAUAAAGCAGUUAUCAGGAAAAUCUGAAACAGAUAUUGUUUUGAGUGCAUACAUAUUGACAAGAUAUACCACAUGCCUGAGUCUCUGCGGCUUCCGUAUUUACGGGUUGGCCUAUUGCUGACAACGAAGGAACAAGACCAUACACACUGAAUGGGGCUUGGCCAUACGCAAUUUGAUGAGUUUGUGUGUUCGAUAAAACUUCCCCCUUCAGUUCAUCUUCGACAGAUGCGACAAUAUUAUCUGAGCGCCGCACUAGCUCAGCUCCAGGAGCCGAACUUGAAAUCCUAUGAUCCUUAACUUCAAAAAAAGAUAAUGCUCCUUCUCUGCACAAAAAGUAUUGGUAAUGAGCAUGGAAAUCAUAUCUGAACAAUCUCACUCCACUGAGAAUAGCGAUUGCAGUAGAUCAUAACUAAAGAAGAGAACGUGUAGAGUCAAAGUAUUUCAGUCACCAACCUGGCAGAAGCAACCCCAGGAAUACCAUUGGUAGUGGGAGAAGAAUCUCCCUCAUCAUCCCCUGUCCCAUGAGAAGACUCAAAAGUUGAGUCAUCACCGCCACUAGCACCAUUGUUAGAAGAUGCCUCUUUCACAAGAUUAGAAUCAAAACUGCCAAACGUCAGACCAUUUUGCAGUACUUCGGCAACCUGAAGGUGGAAUGGAAAUGUUACAUGAGACCGUUUGCCAACAUCUGACUUGAGAAGCGAUUGAGCUUUGCCUUUAUUAGAUGCAGUCUCAUUUUCGGUGGCUGUCAAAAAGAGAAACAGAGGCUGAAUCAAAUAACAAACCACAUUUGCUGCACCAUUAGUGACUUAACAAGAUGACAAGAGAAUGAAAUUAAAGCUACGUCGAUGCAUACUAAAAAUUCAAGAAUAAAAAGGCCGAGAUACCUUGAUCUGCCUGGCUACUGCAAUGAGACGCAGAUAUCAAAGACGGAUCCUGAAGACCGAGUGUAGAUGAUUGCAACUCUGCUGGCUGGUUGUUCAUAACAGGUUGUGAGAUCUGAGCAGAAGUUGCAUCUUGCAUAUGGUUUUGUACAACAGAAACUGAGACAGGUGCAGCAACUGAUUCUGAAAUUGCUCUAGACGUCUCUGGUUCAACUUCAUCCACGGAGGAAGAAGUCGACUUGGAAGCACGAUUUUUCUCUGCAAGUCCCUUGUUCACAGUUGCAGUGAAAUAAUCCUGAGCUUUAUGAUUGCUUAACCCCCUAAAAGGUAUCCUUUAAUCGUGAACAACUUUAUAGGAUUAAAAAGAAAAAAAAAAAAGCUCCCAGAGCUGAAAAGAAUCACACACAGCUGAUAAGUAAAAAUUACUUUUUUCCACGAGGUACUGCGAGAUUUCUUGCUUUGUUAGUGGCAGGAAGAGAAACUCUAGGACCUCCUGAUACAUGGUUAGCUCCAAUCUCCCUUUUAUAAGAUGCACUUCUUCCAUUACUUGCAUCUGCAUAUCAACAAAGAGCUAAGAACAGGGAAGAGGAAGAAAACUACACUUGUCACUCAACGGUACCAGUAAAGGAAACAAAAAAAACUACCUUGAUGAGUGUUACUUGAAGCAACGUUCCUCCGGCCACUUAGGUCACUUCCUUGGGUAAUUGGCGCUAGAUUCUGCAACAGAAAAUAGACAGUAAUCAUAUGAGAUGGUGAAAAGCUAUAAGAGCAAGUGAUGGACCAGGAUUGCAAAGUGAAUCUACAGAUCAUGCACCUGAUAAAUCUAUAAGAAUAAAUUAAAAAAACCAAAUAAGGGGUUCAUAACAAACAAAAAAAAGAAACACUUGCCUCCUUCUUUUUCUCCCUUUUACUUUUCACCUCAUGAAAUGUAUCUGCAAUAUUUCAAAAAUGAUUGAGGUACAUUAGAACAAACAAAAGCGCCACGAAAACCAAAGUACAAAAAGCAACAGUUUUGAUGAGCAAAAUGAGAAGACAAUUUUGAAAAAUGCUGACAUAUAGAAACAGAAGAAAUGAUCCAUACUCAGAUGCCGACUAGAAUCAUACUAGUACGAACUCUAAACAGUACUAAAAAAAACAAAGAUUCCAAAUUCGAAUAGUUCCAGGCACCAAAGAGACACUUAUCCCAUGAUCUUCCGAAACAGAACAAAAAAAAAAUCAACAAACCCUAUCGGACAGACGAAAUCGAUGAAAUGCAAAAGAAAAAACCAAACCGCAGAGGCCCAUUCCAUUAAACAAAAUACAUACAACAAAAGAGGAAACCCUAAAGGAGCAGUACCUAAAAAGAGGAGCUUCUGGGCGGUCUCGUGAGGAUCAUUGAAGGAUUCCUUAUAGACGGCGAAGAUAUCCUCGUCGGAGUGCUGCUUGCCGGUAAUCUCUCUGAUACUCUGAAGGGUUUUGCGGAGAUGGUGCGGAAUCGAAACCCUAGAGGAGCCGCCAUCGGCGAAGCUGUUCAUGGUGUGUAAUGGGGAAAGAGAAGCGGGAGGAGAGAGAAGCAAAACCAAACCAAAAAAAGAAGACAACAAUUGAAAUUGAAAUUGAAAUUGAAAUUAGGACUUGCUUUGAAAUUACAAUAACAAUUCACAGAGAGUGUAAUUUCUUUCUUAUAUAACUCUCAUUGUCGGUAACUUUAUACGCUGACGUCACUUCACAACACUUCUUUUAGACUCACGCGCCGUAAAUUUAAAGUUUUGUUUUUUAACCCUAGAGUAGGCGAUUUAGCAAGAUUUUUUUUCUAUUUCGCCCAAAAAAAAGAGCAAGAUUUUUAAUUUACAACAUUCACACCAUUCACAACAUUCACAUGAAUGGUCUAAGUCUAAGGUUACUCAACUUCUUCUCCCAAAAUUACAUUGCAGCAAGAAUGCCAUCAUCGUCUAAGUCUCUUGCUUGCUCUGGAAAGUAGCGGUAAGAACUUGGCGAGUCUUCUCUUUGCACAACUCAUCAACUCCUGACAUUCAAGGUACUCCAUGGUGACUCGAUUAUACCAGCACAAAGGGCAGUGAAAGUUGCCGUCUUCAUCAAGGUUAACCGGGGAAUUCAAGCAUUCCCUGUGAACUCUAGCUGCACACUCGCUUCUGCAACAUAUCAACAAAGUUCCUUCUUUUUCACAUUUCCAGCAUACAUUCUCAGCUCGACCUCUAACCAUAUCUGACUCUUCAUCGCUCCCACUGAUUAGCCACGUCCCAUCUUUUGUACAUUUUACACGUGUAUCCUCUAGCCUCAUUCUUUUACAACUUAGAGGAAAUGUCCCGCCAGUAUCGAUCGCAUUUUCUUCAUCUUUCUCGUUUGUCUGCAUUGGAUCAUCCUUAUCAUCGAUCAAGAUUGCUUUACCCUUGUCGUUUAUAUUCGUCUGCUCCAAACCAAUUUGCACUUGCUGCUCAUCUACCGGCUUCUCCUCACAUACAUCCGUGUGCAAUGUUCCAUCAUCUCUAACAAGUGGGUCAUUUGCUUCCAUGGGAGGAGCUGCACUUGUCUGAUUCUCCAUUAAACUCACAUCUCUCAGCUACAAGAUCCAAACGAAAAAGAGAGAGAUUUGUGCAUCGUUGUUUCAAUAUAGUUUUGAAAAGGAAAAGCAUGAAACAAAGGAAAGGUGAGGUAUAAGAGAGUUUUACCUUCUCCAGUGCACAUUGUGGCAAAGACAUGUUCUUGUGAGCAAUAAAUGGAAGAACAUUGAACUUUGAUAGCUCCGGCAUUCCCGUUCGUAAGCUUGAUAUUGGAAUCUCAACAUUUGGGAAACAAACUACUAAGAUUAGAAACUAAUAGAUUCCUCUAAUUCUACUACUGCUAAUAGAUCAAGUUAGUUUACGGUUUUGCUCAUACAUCUUCACAAAUGGCUUUGAGAACAUCGGUGUUGCUCAAAGAUAAAUCGAACUCAACUCUUGACUCAGCGACACCGACGCCCGUAGCAUCAUCACUCUUGCUUGGAUCAAACAUGAACUCCAAGAUUCUAAGAGACAGGAGUUCAUUAAUCCUCCUCCCAUAGUCAUUUGUGCAGGGAUAACCCAUGUUCAUCAAAUCUGAAGCAACAGAGAUUUUCUGUUAACAUACACAAAAACGGUCCAUAUGUAAAAGAGGGGACUUUCCAAAUCUAAAAGUUACCGAGUAUGCAGCGUAGAUCCUUGACGAAUUUGGCUACAUAUUCGAUACACCAAAACCAUUCAGCGAUUUGAGGGGGUAGAGAUGAAUAUUCAUCAAUCAGAUCCUCAAGACUCAAAUCAGAAGCUCCAGCGUCAUCACUCUCUUUCUUCUUCUUCUUCUUCUUCUUCUUCUUCUUCUUCUUUCUUCCGUCCUCUUUCCAUUUCCCACCACCCCAUUCGUACAACGGGUCAAUCCACGGUGGCAGUAACCUGCCUCCUCCGGAAGUUACCGUUUCUUUGUCUGAAACUCUACUUUCGAGUCCUUCGGGAUUCAAAGGAGGAGGAAACUCCCAAUCGCCCAAAAUCUGUGUACUCUCUGUGUCCGAAUCCUUCUCCAUUCGGAAAUGGCGCACUGUAAACAAAACAAAAAGAAAGACUUUACGCUUACUUUUGAUUUGUAGGAUUAGACAACUUAGAGACACGUUAAUACUGAUUCCAGAAAACCUAAAUGGCUAAACCCUUUUCCUCUAAAACCCUCAAUUCCAAGUUUUCAACAUCACAAUCCCACUAAAGACAAGCCUAGAGCUCCGAUGCACUAGAUUUAAAUUCACUGAUGCGAAAACGCUAUCGAACAUACUAUAGAGACAGCGACAGAGAAAAUGUAAAGUAUUUGAAGAAAGCAAAAAGGGAAUCACCAAUAGGCUUAAAGCAGCGAGGAAGACGAAUUCGAGGAACCCUAAUAGCGAAUUUGUGUGCAAGCUUUCAGAUUUUAAACAGAAGAACAAAAGCCCAGAAACAGAGAGAAAGAGUAUUUAGUCACCAAUAUUUGUUGAUUCGCAAAUCUCCCGCCUCGAAUUCGAAAAUUCGAACUCGACCUUCUUCUUCGGUCACACCAUCCCGAGUCGAUUGCUUAAAGACUAAAGAAGAAAAGAUAACUGUAUUUGGGCCGUAUAGUGCCCUUAAAUAACUGAUCCACACCGUUGAAAUUCCUGCAUAAUAUCGCAACCGUCAAAUUAUAUUUAACUUUUUUAAAAAGGCAUACUAACUAAAAAAUGACAUCACAAUAACUUGGGCCUGCGCCAUUAAUGUGGGUCCAUUCUCAUGACUGAUCUCAACGGUUGAAAUGAAAAUGAUUUAAACAAAAAUGCUGCGUUACAAGUUAAUCAGAUGAUUCAGAUCAUCAUUUUCUAAAAACUGUAGUUAUAACAACAGUUCUUACUCUCAACCAAUCAGACCACAUGUUUAAGAAUUCUACAAAACCCUCUCACCGAGGUAGAAGCUUCUUCUUAAACUCAGUCAACAACAAUUUGUUCCGGUAUACAAAUAAAUAAAUGUGUGUAGGAAUCCAUGCGAUCGUAAAAUCCGUAUAACAGCUCAAACCAAAAUCAUCAAGAAUUCCAAAAUUUUCAACUCAAGAUUCUGAGUUAACAAGGAAGGCUUGUUGUUGCUUGCUCACUCAUCAUCCGUGCCAAAAUAGCGGUCUCCAAACUCGCCCAUGCCAGGAACGACUCGGAACUCAUCGUUUAAACCGAGUUCUAUCUCAGAAGUCACAAUCUUUAUCCUCGGGAACCUUUUGCACACCACAUUUACUCCUUGAGGUGCCUGAAGAAACAGAACCAGACUUGUUGUAAGCUUCUUAGCCUAUCGAGAGAAGAAGCGAGGUUUCAGUUUAUGUUUUGGUUUUCAACUUACAGAAAUGAGAUUGAGAAAGAUGAUGUUGGUUUCAGGUACGCCUUUGCUUAUGAGCAGUCUUAUAGCUUGCACGGCCGAGUUUCCUAUACACACACAAAAUACGAUCUUGUUCAUAUCUUGUCUUUAUACAAAGAGUAAGACCGGACUCUUGGCAGAACAAUAAAAAGCAGACCUGUCCCGAGGAUUGGGUCCAGCAAAAGAACGUGUCUUUCCGAAAUGUCUGAGGGUAGCUUCUCGUAGAUAAGCUGCCGGUUGCCAUUUGUUCAGAGACAUAUUUUGCCAGGAAGCAGUUAGGACAAAGUGAUGAUGAACAGGCAAAAGAACACAAACCUGCUGACCGUUGUCGCCUUCUCUGUGGAUCAGAAUCUUCCCAAUCUUGAUGCCUUUGCAGCAUGCUCUUAGAGCAUUCUCCAUACUCUCACCGCUGUUUAUCAACAGUUUCGAAGACGAAAUCAUUUUAUCUGGUCUUUGAUAAUUACUAUCUGUCUGUGUUGAGUAUUUGUGGGUGUUUUUUUACCUUCUGAUAACCGAGACACCACACAGCCUCUUACAGAAGUCCACACCCGAAUACACAGAUCCUAAAAUUACAGAAAACAAAAGAAAAAACAAUUUUAACAAUUGGAGAUUUCUGCUGCACAAGAUAUAAGAGCAUCUCCAAUGUAUGACUGCAUAUUUUUCUUUAUUUUGGAGUAACUCCAAAAUGGAGUUGGGUUUAAACUCCAUUUUUUACUCCAUUUUGGAGUUAGAAUUGGAGUAGGGUUGGAGAUAAUCUUGCUGCAAAUUCUAUUUUGCAGUAAAAUUUGGAGUAGGGUUGGAGAUGGUCUAAGUGUUUCAUUAGCUUACCUGUGGGAGUGACCACUUGCUUUUCUGCGAAGGGAAGGUGCCCGAGGCCGUGCUCAACGACCUGGCGCAAAGACAUUAUUAGGACCAACUUAGUAAAAAAAAAAUAACACGAAACAGAAAUCUAAUUUUGCCACCCACCAAACGAAUCAACCGAUCCGAGUAGAAGAUGAAGUCAUGCUUUGUUGUUUUAGAGUCUCUGAUUAGAGUGUGCAUCCCUCGUAUCUGCAAUCAAUGGCUAAAAGGAUCAGUCACUAAACAAGAAAAACGAUUGAUUGCCGUUGGUUAGACGAGAAAGGGAGGGAAUUAAGAAAAAACCUGAAAAGUGGACUGAAUGACAUAAAGAUUUGGAUAUAUUUUACAGAGAUCAUGUUGACCGAGCUUCGUGUGGAUGUGUUGCACGAUCAAAUCAAUAGCAACAUGGUUGUCACCACCACGGGGAAUUAUUAUAUCUGCGUAUUUCUUUGUUGGGAGUAUGAAAUCCUCAAACGCUGGCUUCACAAACUUUGAGUACUGUUUCAGAGUAACCCAAAACAAAACAUACAAACAAGAGUCAGCUUGACGUUGCUGUGACAAUAUUGAAGAGACUCUUUGCAGAGACGGUAACCUGGUCAAGAACAGUCGCGAUAUCUCUGGCCUUCUCAACAGUAUCGCGUUUAAUCCUUCUUGCUAAACGCACAUCGGCAUCUACAUAUAUAGAUAACGCCAAUUAUAUAACCAACAUGAGUAUAUACUAUAUACACUUGUUACAUGCAAUGCACAAGUACUCUAGAGUCUCUGCACAUAUGCUACGGAUUGGCUAGAUAUGUGUAAACAGUUUCGACGUGGGAAAGACCUGCAUCUACAAAUAUCUUCAUGUUCAUCAAAUCUCUCACACGAGGGUCAUGGAAAAUGAGUAUCCCUUCAAGGAUUAUAACAUCAGAAGGAUUUACCUGCGAAUAAUAUCAUUAAUAAAGAGAGUUAUUAGAAUAUCAUUAAUUCUUAAAAAGUGAAGCGUUCUGAAAAGAAAAAGCGCAUAUAGAUAGUAACGAAUACACAAGAGAGCUUAUCACUCCAACAUGAGUUCAAUCUCCAGAGAAGAGAUGCAAACUCCAAAUAGUCAGAACCAAGUGACCAUUCGACGACGAUAAAGUAAAGAUGCUAAUUAAGAGGCUCCCUUACCCUUCUAGGUGGAAAAACAUUGUUCUUGUAACUUUUGAAGUCAUAGUUGGGGAUAUCUACAGCUUGUCCUUUUCUUAACUUGUCCAUGGAACACAAUAAUUGCUCGGUAUCGAAAGCGUCUACGAGACAGGGAUCAAACUUCAUAUUUACAAGCAAGCAUAUGAUAGAUAAUUUUGGAGACUCAAAAGGCUAUAUAAGCGACACAGAACAGUCGGUAUUAGAUUUAGAGACUUGCUAACCAGGAUGGUCAAAAUUGUAAUCAUGAACUCUUGCAAGCUCCUCUUCAUUUACAUUAUGGUAGAAAGAAUCCUGCAAAUUGAUAAGAUCGAUCAAGCUCAAUGUAUUACAUAUAUGACCUACUACAACCACUUGUGAUCUCUUAUCAGAAGUAAAAACCCGUAAAUCAACAUUUAUUCAGAAUUUUCGAGUACAAGCACCUGAUUGACAACAACGGCUCUCUGAUCAUGCAGUUGCUGCAUAAUCAGAUCGCAGACAGUUGUCUUCCCGGAUGCUGCUCCUCCAGCAACUCCUGAAAACAACACAAAAAUCAAUAAGAAUCCACAUCCUAUUCACAUUUUUUCUGAUUCUAACUAUCCUCAGCUGGAGGUAAGAUAAAAUCAGCAGCAUCUCUCACCGAUAACAAAAGGUUGCCCAUGUUCGUCUUCAUCUUCAGCAGUAGCCAUUUGGUCUGACCUAGUUGAAUCUAAACCAUCCGUUUGAUGAAAUCCUGAGAAAUGAACCUUUGUGGAAGUUUCUAUCAUAUCAACAGUCGAUUUUGAAGCCAUUCCUACAUCCAAAAAUAAAAAGCCAAACAUAGAUACGUUUUAAAAUCACAUGGAAACGCCAAUAAGGAAUACAGAAGCUAUCACCUUUUGUUUGUCACCAUCUAGGAGUAAAGGAAGAACAAAAAGGACUCCUGCUUUUUUUGCUUUCAGUAAAAAAAAAAUUCCUUUCUUUUUAAAAAAAAAAAGAAGAAGAAAUAUCCAACUUUUGUAGUCAUUUAGAUUCCACAAGUGCCAAUGCCGUGAUACCCAUUUCCUCAAAUCCCGUUGAAAACACAAACCAAGCAACAAAAAGGACACUUGAAACGCGUUAGCACGAAUCAAAUCAACCAGAUUCAUCUUAAAAAUGUAACGCCGAUCCUAAACGGAAAACGCGAUCAUUUCCCGGGGAAAAGAAAGAUUAUGACGGAGAGCAAACAGAGAAGAAAGACAGAGAUAGAUAGAUCAAAUCCAUGCAGAAAAUGAAAACCCAGAACCAGAAGAAACGUUCAUUGAUGGAUCAUCGAAAUCAAUAACCGAACAUUCACAAGAAGAAGAAGAAAAGAAACUCACGAAAUUUAAAAAAAAAAAGGGAUUGAAUUAGCUUCCAGAUCACCGAUGAGCUACACAAAAGCUUCCAGUUUCAGAUAAAGAAUCCAACAUAGAUAGAGAGACACGCACGAGCAUUGCCUGUUAAACUCGAUGCACAGACAUAAACUGAGUUUUAUACAUAUAGUAACGUAUAUAUAUAUAUAUAUGUGUGCGGUGAAAGAGGAAGGGAGGAUGCAGCGGCGGAGACGGGUUAUUUACGAAAACCGGGAAGUGGUUUCUAGCUAUUGACGAUACUACCCUUCCCAAUGCAAUGUAUGUAACUGUCGAAUAAUGUGUUUUCGUUACUAUAAAAUAUUACUUAUAAUAUAUUUAUAUUUAUUUUGUUACCAAAGAAGAACUAUUUUUGGAUCGCAUCUGCAAUAUAUUUUCGUUUUUUCCAUUUCUAUUCAUUUUCAUAUACGUAACCUCCUACGUUUCCAAAUUUUCGCAAAUGCCUGAUUAGCUCUGAAUAUUUUAACCAUAUAAAAACAUCAUUUCAUCAUUUAUAGGCAUUUUUCAAAUCGGUGUAUAGUUUAAGGUAAUUUAUUUCUCACAUACAGUCUUGGGGGUUAUUUUUGGGCCUUGGGGGUUGCCGAUCGAAAAAUAGGGGGGUGAAAUUUUGGUAUUUCGAUUCUUUGGAUCCUCUUUUGUAAUAUUCUCAGAAAUGAGAGGUGUUGUUAUUAUAUUGGUAAAUUGGUAGGCGUUAACACGCAAUAACGCCUUUUAGGGAUAAGAAAAGUAAGCCAAUAACGACGACGUUUCUUGGGGUUUCGAGGAUCCAACUCUCACGGGUACAGUGGUGGUCAUGUUUUCGUCUUCAACUAGGUUAAUCGUAUCGGGUUUUCACCGGACUCGAACCCUAAAAUCGCCGGUAAAUCCUCCGAGACUCUUACUAUCCGUGCCUAGAUUCUUCCAUUCCGAGUCGAAAUCGAGCGACAGGAGAAUCGGGAUGAGCAGCGUAGAGAAAACCGGGUCGGAAUCGGGGGCAAUCGAGAAUCGGGCGAGCAGGAUGAGGGAGAAGCUGCAGAAGGAGCUCGAACCGGUGGAGUUGGUAAUCGAGGAUGUGUCGUAUCAGCACGCCGGUCACGCCGGUAUGAAAGGUAGAACCGACGAAGAGACGCAUUUCAACGUGAAGAUCGUCUCAGAGGGAUUCCAAGGAAUGAAUCUGGUGAAGAGGCACAGGCUAGUCUACGAUUUGCUCCGGGAAGAGCUCGAUAGUGGAUUACACGCGCUUUCCAUCGUGUCCAAGACGCCGUCCGAGUCCAAUCGUUAGGACAAGGUCUAUGAAGAGUUUUGUGUAAAAACUCUCCCUUUAUCAUUGAUGUUUUCCGAACCCAAUUCAAAGGCUCUGCUUUGGAUUUGGAUUUGAUUGCGUUUCGUGUUUCCGGAACCCACAACCAAAUUCUUCAUCUUUACAUACGUUUGAGGGUGUUGAUGUUUCUUAUGCUUUACUUUCAGUCUUUUCUCGAGAUUUGGCGAAUUCUCAAGAGAAUUUAGCACCAAUGUACAUUAGGAAAUGUAACACUUUCAUUCUUGAAACGGUUCUUGGUAAAGGGAGGCAAAAAAAUUGUUAGUGAAAAAACUGCAGGGAAAUUGAUAGUGAAGAAGAAAGAAUAUUGGAUCAUGAUUAUGUAAACUAAACGGUAUCAAGAUGGUUUUUUUUUAUAAUGGAAUCUUCUGUUACCACAGAAAGUCAGAAACUAUAGUCUAUAGACUUAUGAAACGUUAAGCUAGCUCCGAUUUAGGUUAGGUAGCCUUUGAAUUGAAACACAUUCAUGUCAUGUGUUCUCUUCCAUGCUACAGCAUGUUUUUCAAAACGCUAGAAACAGUACGCUCUUUUUUUCAAUCAUUAUUACUCGAGACCUGUCUAUGGGCGUAGAUGUUCCUUUUCUUGCAAGUUGCAACAAAGAUUAUGCUAUUACUUGCUCUAUGGAUGUAAACCAAAAACCAAUUAGUGAAGGCCUGUUGGGUUUCGUUUUGUGAUGUAAACCGAAUCGUCAUUUCUAUUUUUGAUAGGAAACUGAAUCGUCCCUCUUCUUUAGUUUAGCUCUAACAGUAACGUUACUUGCUACAUUUUGAAACUCAAAAAUAAAAUAAACCCAGAAAAAAAAAACACUGUCCUCCAAAGUAUCCCUCCAAUGGCGACGACGGUGCUUGACCUCUCGAAGUUUAUCAGAGACGAUAAUGAUGAUGAUGAAGUAUGGGUCACACACUAUUCAUCAAACCAGCAAAUACUUCUCGUCGGUGAAGGAGAUUUCUCAUUCUCCUGCUGCUUAGCCACUCGCUUCGGCUCUGCUUCCAAUAUCUGCGCUUCCUCUCUCGAUUCAUACGGUAACAUUUCCUUUGCACUCUUUCUUAGAGUUUCUAGGGUUUUGAUUUUCUUUUUCUCGUGAAUUUUCUAUGGCGAGAGUUUAGGUUUUUUUUUAAUCUGUGGGUUGAAUCGAAAUCAAUUUCUAGGGUAAACAGCUACUUAUCGUGGAGCUUAUUGGUUUCAAGUAUUGCAUUGUUCUGUUUACAUAUAGCUUAUAAACCUGGUAAAAAGGUUUUGGCUUUAUUAACUCUGAUCUCUUGUGCUGUUUCAUGUCUCGUCUCGUCUCCUAUGGUAAUUGUACGUAGCAGAUGAUGUGGUUAGGAAGUACAAGAAGGCAAGAUCAAACCUUGAAACUUUGAAGAGGCUUGGAGCAAUCCUUUUACAUGGAGUUGAUGCGACCAAACUGCAAUUCCAUCGUCAUCUUCAUUUCAGAAGAUUUGACCGAGUCAUCUUCAACUUCCCGCACGCCGGUUUCCACAGCAAAGAGUCCGAUCCCUGUCAAAUACAGUGAGUGUCAUGUUUUUCUUCUUUUGACUCAAAUUGUAGACUUUAGGGAAUUUUUUUAAAAAGAUUAUCACAUUAUCUUUGCCUGUGUGUUGUGUAGGAAGCAUAGGAAACUAGUGUUUGGAUUUUUCCAUGGUGCAAGCCAUAUGCUAAGGGCUAAUGGCCAAAUACAUGUCUCUCACAAGAACAAUGCACCUUUUUGUCACUGGGAGCUCGAAGAACUCGCUAGCAGAUGCUCUCUUGCGUUGAUUCAUUGUGUGGCAUUCGACAAGUGCAAUUACCCUGGUUAUGAGAAUAAGAGAGGAGAUGGAUCCAGAUGUGACCAACCUUUCCCUUUGGGAGAGUGCAGUACUUUCAAGUUCAGAGUCUCUAGCGUGGCUAAGGAGCUUUAUGCAGAGAAGGUGAAAUGGAGACGAGCAAAGGAACGAGAAUCAAAGUUUCCCCAAGCCUCAUCUGAUCCUUUGUAUCCCCUCCAUACACAAUUUCAAGGUGUUAGCCAAAGACCUGUUUCAUUGGAUGUCAGCUAUCACCACCAGGACCAUAAUAAGCUUAGGCAACUCCAAGAUCCUUAUGAAGAUGCUAGCUUUAUUCAAAGAUCAGCGUCGUUUGCUCUGGAAAGAAACCAUGCCCGGUUUCAGGACACUCUCAGAUACACUGAAAGAAGCAGCUUCCAAUAUCAUGACUUUCCUUUUCUAAUUAGUCAUCAUCAUCAUCAAGAACGAUUCCUUGAAUGCUCUAGCCGCUUCAAUGAGGUUAUUUAUAACAGGGAAGGACAACGAAUGUUGACAAGGACGAGCUUUCUUCAUCCGUACAAUGGAGAAUCACCAGAAAGACAACGCCUGCUUCGUCAAGACUUUCCGGUUCAAGCUAGUCAAGAACCGUACUUUGAACGCUCUUACCGCUUCAAUGAAGUUUAUAACUGGGAUGGACGAAGGAUGUUAACACGUACCAGCACAAGAACAAAGCUUGACUAGGCAGAGCGACCUCAACAUUUACACUCCACAACACUGGUAAAAAUCAUUAUUCUCUGUGUAUAUUAUGAAAUCGAAAGCUAAGUCGAUAUGAAAAGUUUUCCAGGUGAGUGAUCUUCAAAGAAGUUGUCAUGAUAACUUUGAUGGAAACAAGGUGACUGAAGCUUGGACUUGGUAACAAAUCUUUAAGAAUUGCAGUUGGCUAACUAUAUUUUGACAGCUAAAAACCACGAUGAUCUCAGUUAUGUAGAUGAUAAUUAAGGGUAAUUUUUUGUGUAUGUAUUUAGUUUUUGGAGAAUGUGCGUGGUAGAAGUGGUUGUGAGUCUUGCAAAUUAAACGGUCUCUCUUGAUAUCUCCACUCUAAGACACUACCUGGGCCAGAUAGUUUGGUACGACACGUUUUUGUUUGUGUUUUUACUUACUUUGCUAUCUGGUCAAACAGCUUAAUAUAUGAUUUUUAUUAUUCCGCGUAGACUAGUAUAAACUAUAAAGUAUAAACUUGACCUUAGCCGACAAGGCGAAGACGAUCACUAUCCGAGCGACAUAAACUCUAAUCAAAUCAAAUCAAAUUAUAUAAGCAAGUAAUUGAAUAAUGAAAGUGUCAGGGUAACUGCAAGGAAAUUGAUAGUGAGAAUAAAUAAGAAUAAUAAAAAUGCAACUGGUGACUUUCAAGGAAUUUGCUUAUAGAGUUACUACGAAUCAAAUCCAAUUUGCGUUUAAACUCUUAUACCUAUUAUAAUGAUUAACGACCAAUAGCAUAAAUUUCAUACUAAUUAAUAAAUUUUAGAGAAAUAUGUUAUAACCUUAAUUGAGAGUUUUGUCAAUACUAUAAGAUUGUUUAAAUUUAAUGCAAAUUCUAUAAAUUAUUCUAUGAUCUAAAACAGAUCAUCCAGAGAGAGAGAGAGAGAGAGAGAAUUUUCAUGUUAUUUUUUUUUCCAAAUUAGGAUUCUGGAUAUUUCUCAUUCAUUGCGUUUGACAAUUGCUCUCAGUAUAUAUAAUCAGUAGAUGAUAUGACAUUCAAAAAUCCCUAUAUCGAUCCGAGUAUUCACUAUAUUACAUUUAAAAUCUUGGUUUCUCUCCUUACUCAAAACCUCAUAUCGGAAUCUUCUCUCCGGCAGUAAGAUGAGGGUAAGUAAAGUGCAUUUUUUUGUUUUCCUCAUGUCUUCUCUGUGGUGAACCUACUUUCUUGCAAAACAUGGAAUAUAUGCAUAUAUUAUAUAUGUAGGCGAAUUUUGAAAAUAUUUGUUGAUGAGUUCUAUAAUUGGUUAUAUCAUCGUUUAUUUCUUCAGCAAAGGAUAGUUUUGAAGAUGGAUAUGAGUGAGAGUGAGAAAUCAAUGAAGAAAGCUAUGAAAAUCGCAUCUGGAACAUCUGGUUAACAUCUCUAUAUAUAUUUGACUUUUUUUUUUUGCAAAAACUUGCAAGCCAAGUUAGGUCAUGUGAAUCGUUUCAAGCAAGGUUUUGUUAAUUUAUACGUGCGUGUAGGUGUGAGAUCGGUCUCGAUUCAGGGACAGAACGAUCAGUUGGUUAUAUUGGGAGAAGGAAUUGACACGGCAGAGCUAACACGUGAGCUCCGGAAGAAAGUUUGUCACACGACCAUCGUCGCCGUUCAGGCCGCGCCGCCGCCGCCACCGCAGCAACAGCGACCACCGCAGCCGAAUCAUAUGGGACAUCAGAACGAGAUGGCUCCGGCGAGAAGAUGCAUAUGUGAGAUACCGAAUUCGGGUUUCUGCGGAUUUUGUAGAUCUAUGAGUGAAACCCCUUACCACCAGAUGAUAGCUCCGCCGUAUCCUCCUCCGGUGAACUAUGUUGGUUACCGUGAUGAUCCUGAUGGUUGCAGAAUCAUGUGAUGUGAAACUACUUCUGAGUGAUUUUUGUUUGUUCUUUUUUUUUUUCUAAUUUUUCUUAGUUUUCUGAUCACGUUAUUCUGUAGAUACAAAAUUUAAAAAUUCGUGGUGCUGUAAAUAUUAUGUGACAGACACUCUAGGAAAAACAGAUUUUUCACUAAACCCAACAAAACAAAAAAAAAAAGAGAGUGAAAUUUAAUGUUUCUUGAUCGAAGUUACACUCAAACUAUGUAAAUGUUCAACAACAAAAAAAAGUUACACUCAAACAAACUAAAUAAAAAAAAAAAUUAUAUGUGUGCUAACACUCGUUCAUCUUGGUCGUACUUUGUCACAUGUCAUCAAGUGAAAACUUCUGCGUCUUAAAAGCAAAUGUAGAGAAGAAAUCAAUUUCAAAUUCUUUUCAAAUAAAAUAUUAAGCUGUUUUUUCCUGUCUCAAGUUGUGCUUAUGUAUCUAUCUAUAAUGUAAUGAAGUCAAGUCCACUAUUAUAAACAAAAUUUAAGGACUUUGCUUUGGUGAAUGUCCAAAGACUAGUUCCUCGAAAUAUAUGUCAACAUUCCAAAGAAAAUUGGUUUAAUUCCCACAGAAGUAAAGUAAUUAUUAUUAUUAUUUUAGAAUACUAAAAAUAUUCCUUAAUCUUUACGUAUAUUCUCGGCCUCAAACGCGGGAAACGUGAUCGUGUCAAUUAGUCAAUAUCAAUUGUUUUUCUUCCAUUUUUGGUAACUCAAUAUCAAUAAUCAUUCAGUGCGGGAAAAUCUCAAAAGCUGAAAAAUAAAAUAACAAAAAGGCUCGAUUCUCAGUGUAAGAAACUUUAAGGAAACUACAGAAAGGAAGAGAAAUUGUAAAUGAUGAAACUUAAUUGUUUGCUGUAAAACAAAAACAAAAAAAAAGAAGAAGAAGAAGAAGAAGAAGAAACUGGAUUGAUUGAAAAGAUGCCGAAUUAAAACAGAAGAAUAUGUAUACUGCAUGAACUGAUAAAUAAAUAAUUAUACUACAAAAUACAAUCUUUAUUCUUUGACCUGAAGCAUUUGGUUUAGGUCUGGAUCAGAACUAGCAGCAUCUUAGCCCAUAUCCUCAUUCACGCGAAUAGGUCCAAUCAGCCGGUAGGCUCAUUUACCUAUCGGCCCAAUCGGUUGUUAUUUACUUAUUUGAUUUUCUGUUUUGCAGUUGCAAAUUUCCCGCCGAAUUUUAAAGGUAAAUUUUGUUUUCCAUUUUAAUACAAACAAAACUACUAAAAUUAGAAUUCUUCAACAACAAACAAAAACGAUAAACAAAAUUCGAUUUAUCGUUUUGGAGGUUUCAUAUUUAUCAAAUAUAAAAUCUUUCUUCAUCAACCACAUUCCUCAAAUCAAAACCCAAAAGAUGAAGCAAUUCGCCGGACUUCUCUUCCUCUGCAUCGUUCUUCUCUCCUCACUCGCCGGAAAUGCUGAUUCCGAUCUGAUUUCCGAUCUGUGCAAGAAAACCGACGACCCAAAACUCUGUCUCUCGAGCAUACAGUCGCGUCCCGAGUCCGGCGAGUUCGCAGCCACCAGCAACCAGAUCGAGAUCAUAGCUAUCUCCGCCGUGUCGGCAAACGCCUCCGCCACAUCCGCCUACAUCAAGGAAAAGCUCAGCCGCGAGGAUCUUGAGCCGGCCACGGAGGACACGCUCGAGGACUGUCAGAAGAACUACCAAGACGCCGUUGAGCAGCUCGACGACUCCAUCUCCGCCAUGAUCGCCGACGCACACGCCGACGUCGACGUCUGGCUAAACGCGGCGAUCAGCGCCGUAGAGUCAUGUGGGAACGCGUUGGAGUCACGCGCCGGGAACGAUGUGGAGCUUUCUCAGAGGAACGAGGUUUUUCUCAAGCUUUGCAAAAACGCUUUGGUGAUUAACAAGAUGUUAACUUGAGCAGAUUUAAUUUUAAUCUCCAAAAAUUUGAGAGAUUAAUAAUAUUUGGUUCUUCUUUUUUUUUCAACUUGUUGUUGCUAUGAUUAAGAUGAGUUCGUUUGCAUCAAAGAAAAACAUCAAGAGCAGAUUGUUUUAUUAUUGUUUCAUGAUCAAAUACAAUGUCAUUUUUUUGUCAACCAAAGAAAAACUAAAACCUAAAUUAGAAAUAGUGAACCCAAGCAUAAUAUUAUAUUUUAUUUAUUUUUAUUUCUAAUAAAUAUAUAUAUAUAUAUUAUUUAUUUGUUUUAUUUCUAAUAAAUAUAUAAUAGUGAACCUAAGCAUAAUAUUUAUUUGUCUUAUUUUCAGAAUUUUAAACUUUGAUCUCUGAAUUUUAAUUUUUAAAUCCAAAAUUCUAAUUUUUAUACUCUAAAUCAUAAUCUAUAAACCUUAAAAAAAUUAAAAUAAAAACUAAAUCGUAAAUUAGAAUCUUUAUAUAUAUUAUUUAUAUAUAUAUAUAUAUAUAUAUUUAACAAAAUCUUUGAUUGAAUAUUUAAUUUUUUAAUUUUAAUUUUUUAAUUUUCUUUAAAAAUAAUAUUACAUGGCAGAUUCUCAUUGGCUUAAAUGAAAGAGGGUGAAUGAAUGAAUUCACCCAUAGGGAUGAACCCAAAAAUUUUCCAUAAUUUUUUAAUUUUAAUUUUUUAAUUUUCUUUAAAGAUAAUAUUAUAUGACAGAUUCUUAUUGGCUUAAAUGAAAAAAGGUGAAUGAAUGAAUUCACCCCUAGGGGUGAACCCAAGAAUUUUCCUUGUUUUUAUUAUUGUUUCAUGAUCAAAUACAAUGUCAUUUUUUUUUGUCAACCAAUGAAAUACAUGUUUUGACAAGAAAAAAAAAAUACUUGUUACCAUUUUAAAACCCGACCCGAAUGGACACUGUCUAUUGGGCUUAAAUUGUGAAAGCCGCUAUUUGGUUUAUAAUCGGGUCCAUCUUAUAUUUCCAAUUGGUUUAAUUAGAUGAUAAUUUUGUCUGGAUAAACUUUUUUGAAAAAAUAUCCAUUUCGAUCAAAUGAACAAAUGAACAAUUCAGUUUCUAUCCAUUUAUUUGGUCUAAUUAAGAUGAAAUUGGAUCGAUUUGGUUUAUUUAAUUUAAACAUCCUUGCCUUCAAGUCUUCAACUAUAAAAUCUCAUGGACAGUAUGAUUAGGAGGUGUGGAAAAAAUGUGUAAAAGCAAAACAAAGGUGGAUAGUUGAAAUCCAAUAAAAACGGAACCAAUGGUGGAAACCUACUCGACCCAUCAUGAAAUUUUUCUAGUCAAAUUGUUUUACCAAACUCCAACUUCAUCGUUGACCUACCACAUUCAUAACGUAAUCAAUUAUUUUGAUCUAUCUAUAUUAAACCAAUAUUAAUAAACAACUGUUUUCUAACAAAAAAAAAGGUGCAUUAGGAUAAUCAAUUGUCAAGUUUUGAGAUACAUAUUCAGGAUUCAAGUCUGAUAUUUUUCGGAAAUAUACGGACACGAUCCAUUUGGACAUCAUUUCAAAGAGGUUGCUUGUAAGAUGGGGUGUUGGAUAGAUUCUAGAUUCAAUGUCCCACAAAUAGACAAAACACAGAUACCUUUCUUCUCCACCUGGAUAAAUUGUAUAUAUACACUUGUUCUACGCUUUAAUAUUUUAUUUCCCAAAAAAAAGUUAUUUUUUCUUGUUAUUCAUCACUCAAGAUGUAAUUCACAAUCACAUUAUUAUAAAGCUUACUAAAUAUACAGUGGGUGUAAGAAAGAAGCUUUAAUUUUAAAUACUAUUAUUAGAUAUAUACCUAUGUUCACAUAAUUCAAACAACUUGCACAUCAAAGAUGAGAUCAUAAGAGAAAACUUGCACUCUUGUAAAGUAAUUCAAGAUUCCACUAAGACCCCACCUUGUUGCAUUUCCUCUUAACAAUGAUAGAAUCUUGCUUUUUAUUUGCUUUUUUUUUCAAUUAUUUAUGGAUAAAACUAUAUUUUUAUCAACCAACUUGAUUAUACUUAAUAUUAGAAACAAUCUGGUUUUCAAGUAUAUGAUAUCCGAGAAAUUCUUGUAGUUUUUUAUAACCAAAAAAAAUCGAAACACGAUUGCAGUUAUAGUGGUUACUGGUUAGUUAAGGAUUUGAAUUUUACUGACCCCAGAAUCAAGUGUGGUGAAGGACAUGGAAGAAAAUAUAAAUAUGCAUAGAUUUUGAUUCGUUGAAUUUCGAAUAUGUGGGAAAUGGAUGGGAGAUUCAAGUUGAAGAAGACGAUGAAGUUUGGAAGUUGCAAAGGAGUGGGCAAAGGAACCAAGUUGACAUAGAAUGCACGCAAAUCUAUGCGAGUGCUGAAAAGAACACUUCUCUCACAUUAAUCUAUACAAUUCUUCUGUCACUCAAAUUGAUUUAAACAAUUUUAUAUGUACAAAAUAUUUGUAAAGUAGAUAGAUUUGCCUAUCUUGGAAGCACACAAAUUCCAAUUGCUUCCAUCACACUCCAACGCCAAUCUCACAACCUAUGGUAUUAAAUUUAAAACGCAUUGUGAAACUCUAGAUUUAGAUUCAUAAUAAAUCAAGAUUUUCAUAUGUAGACACUAUCUAAGCACUCAGUAUCAAGUUAUUAUGCAUCAACAAUAACUAAUUGGAUGGUUACAUGUAGUGCACACUGUUUUUAGGCUAAGAUCAUUAGAAUAGUUUUAUGGAAUUAAUAAAGUUAAUACCAGAAAUAUUCUAUGCUAAGAUCAAUCUAUACUUUGAAAAGGAGAAAAGAAGAAAAACAAAGAAAAGGAUAAUUCAUUCGUUGGGGGUAAUUAUGUAAAUGAUAAACCACAUCGAACCCAAGAAAUGUUGAAGUAUCUCUAAAGUCUGAAAUUACGUUGGAAGAGAAGAAGACUAGAGAAGUAUCCAAUAAAUGGGACACACGCCCCAUAUUAGAGAAUAGAGACUAGUGCCCAGUUCGUGAAAUAAGACAAGGAACAUAGCACCAAACACUUCACUUUCUCAGUUUCUCUCUCUCUCAACCAAAAAAAAAAGGAAACGAAACCUUUCAAAUGACGUAAAAGCAAAACACUGACUUUGCUUCCCCGGAAUUACCAAUCCAAGAAACGCUAAUGAUUCCUCCCUCCAUUAAACAACUCCUCUCUCUAAACCCAAAUCUCAAUCCUUCUCUCUUUUGAUUCUGUUCGCUUUUAACCCACACAUACAGAUUAUACAUAGUUUCGUAUGUGGAAGAAGAGUGUAUGCCAGAAAAAUCCCCCCUUUCUCUCCAUAACCUAAAUCACUCGAUCAUAAGUAGAAGAAAAAGGUAAACUUUUUUUUUGGGUGAUUUUAUAUGGUAAGAAGAGGAGAAAAGAGCAAACCUGGGAAAGUCAGGGGAGAAUUUGCUGGAGGGUUUAUUGGAUUGUAUCCAUGACAUCACAUCGGCUUUGGCUUUCGCUAGGAUGACUGAUUCUGCUUAUAGAGUUGACACCAUUUCCAGGCUCGCCCAAUGGCGAAUCCACAACCUUUCUUCCUCCACUUACCGCAAGUCCGAUCCUUUCAAGAUGGGUCUCUGGAAUUGGUAUCUCUCUCCUCUCUCUCUCCUUCCUUCUUUCCUUUUUUCAUGACCCGACAUGAAUGAUGGCGAUGAAUGAAACAAAAGUGGGCACCUUUUUUUCUAAUUGAUGUGUUUGGUGAUUGAUUUUGACAAUUUGGUGUGUUGAUUAUAUCCAAGGCAUUUGUCUGUGGAGAAAAGCAAGAUGCUAUUAAAUGUUAAGUUGUAUCCAGAGGUAUCAAACCUCACCAGAGAGAAUCCACCUGUUGCCUCCUUUGCUCUUCGUGUUGUCUCUUCUGCCGGUGAAAGGAAAGCUUUAUCUCAUCCAGGUCAAUAAGAUCUUGCUAUUUGAUUUUUUGGUUUCCCCUGCUUUUGUUCCUGUUCCACUUAAGAUGAAUCAAAAUGCUGACACUAUUUCUUUCACGAAUUUGUAUACCCGAAUGCAGAAGUAAUAGAUAAGCGGAUCAAGACAAACGAAGAUUUUCUUUGGACGAUUGAAGUUCCCUUAACUGGAAAAAUCAUCAUCGAUGUUGAGUUUCUAGACCUGAAGGUUCUGUCUCAAGAUGUAAGUGUUUCCAUCACUUCAGAGAUGUUACUAAGAAGAACCUUAUAUAUGUUUGGUGUGUUUAGUUGAUACUUAACUGAAUAUGGCAGAGUGGAGAAUUCUACUCAAUCUGGGAAGACGGUUCAACGCAGAAUCAAUCCAAAGCGUCAGCAGUAACAUCCCUUGGACGUAUGUUGGAAGAAAGCAUUUACACAGACAUAAUGAUCAAUGCCUCUGAUGGAAGCAUUGGAGCUCACCGAGCUGUUCUUGCUGCACGUUCACCUGUUUUCCGCAGCAUGUUUCUACAUGACCUUAAAGAGAAAGAGCUCUCAGCGAUCAACAUGCCCGACAUGCCUCUUGAUGCUUGCCAAGCGUUCCUCAGUUAUAUCUAUGGCAAUAUCCUGAACGAAGACUUUCUUAUCCAUAGAUUAGCUCUCCUCCAAGCAGCAGAUAAAUAUGAUAUUGCUGAUUUGAAAGACGCGUGCCACUUGAGUCUUGUAGACGAUAUCGACACAAAGAAUGUUCUUGAGAGGCUUCAGAAUGCUUAUCUCUACCAGUUACCUGAGCUCAAGGCUAGCUGCAUGAGGUAUCUUGUGAAGUUUGGUAAGAUAUUUGAGAUCCGUGAUGAGUUCAACAUAUUCAUGCAGUGCGCAGACAGAGAUUUGAUUUCUGAAGUUUUCCACGAAGUUCUCAGUACCUGGAAAGGAUUUUAGGGGGGAAUCAGAAAGGGUAUGUGUGCUAUUAUUAUUAUACAAGGACUAUUUUUUUGUGCAGAAGGAUUUGUUGGUCUUUAUGUACAGAUUAAAGUGUUGUCAGGGUUUUAACUCAAAACCCCCAAGUAUUGUCCUUGCAAGGAUAAAAACAGCAACAUGUAAAUUCAUGAUUUGAUUGAAUGCGAGAGCUUCUUAGCUUGAACUUUGGAUUGUUGGUCCAUAACACUAAUACUGUAUAUAGUUAUCAGUCUUAUGCUUUUAAAGUAAAAGUUUGAAAUCAGUUCUAAGUUCCAAGCAGGAUACCAGGCAAAGAGAUUCUAAUAGGGAUCAAAGGCUUAUUCUAGAGUUAGGCCAAGCUAAACUUUAUAUAUCCUCUCAUACUCUGUUAUAAUAGUACCAUUCAUCAUACGAGCAAAUGCCACAGGAAUAAUUUUAAGUGAUUUUGCAAAACUAAGCUACUAGUAACAUAUCAAAACCAUCACUCUAUAAACAUGACAACUAAACGUCUUAUAAUGUACAAUAUAUCUUAUAAGAUAUAGAGUGAUAUGGUUUUGAUAUGUUUGGAGAAUCAUGAAAUUUUGUACAAGAAACAUUAUAAAAAAACUUUUAGUUGUCAAUCUUUUUAACAUGAUUAUCAAUGAGUUCAUUUUGCAGCACAUUACAAGAAUCCAUAUGCCAUUUGACCUGAUUCGUAAUUAUGUGUUCCAAGCAGGAUAAGAGAUAUACUUAUAGUAUGUACAGAUGGUCAAGUUAGGCCGAGCUAAACAUUUCUAUAGAUAUGUAUCCUCCCUUAAUCUAUAAUCUCCGCACGGUUUUAAAAUGGUCAUCACAUAAGCUAAACAAUUCAUAAAUGCAACAGGAAUGGUUCAGUUUCAGAGAAUUCUCUAUACAUAAGCCCUUGUGCUAUUUAACAUUUUCAUUAAUUUAUCAAAAAGAGAAAGACUAGAAUCUGUGAUCAUACUUGAUACUAUACAUAGAUACCGUUGAUGCCGAACAUAAGCUUAGCGACAAUGAUAGCAGAGAUAAAAACACACCAAAAGGAACGAUCUGAAUCAAGCCAAUCACCGAAACCAAAGCCCUCGAAAGCGGAGAGUAAACCAAAGCGAAAGGUGUAAAGGACGUGUUUAGUGUCCAUGGUAUACCCAAAGGCAAUCCAAAGCGAAAGCCCAAACUAAAUUGGGCUUAACGUAGAGUUGAGCUGGAAGAUGGCGAUCCCAAAGGCAAACACGGAGCAUAUGUAGAUCAAAGCAUCGAUGGUCGAGUAAUAGUAAGGGAAAUAAAACAUGGCUACCAUAAGAAUCACAGAGUAGCCCGCACGUGUAGCAGGAAGAGGAGGCUCGUUUGGAUGCGAAUAAUAUUGUGGGACACUUCGCGAUAUCUCCCUUGUCGUGGCAUUGGAUUUUAAAGAUUCUAUCUCAAAAAAACACAUUAUCGAAGGAAGAGAUAAUAGUGCUGAUUUGAGACGUCCAUAACCUAUACCUAGGCCAUUCCACCGGUUUUAAGAUUGCAUCAAGAGCAGCUGCACAAUCAGUCGCUAUCGUUAUAUCCAUCAAGUGAAGAUCCCUUAGGCUUUGCAAUGCUCAGAUAAUACCUCUUAGCUCUGCUGUUAUUCGGUUAUGAAAGCAGGUCAAGGCAUCUCUUGCGUGAAACAGAACAGUACCUGAUGAGUCUCUUGCAAGCCACGCAACACCACUAAGUAGAGAGGCACUUCUCCAAUUGGCAUUCACAUUACAUUUCACGGUACCUGGAGGAGCACUUCUCCAAUUGUUUAUGUACAGAUUAAAGUAUUGUUAGGGUUUUAACUCAAAACCCCCCAAGUAUUGCAUAGUUAAUUAGUUUUUCUUUUGCAAAUCAAAGGGCAUCAAACAUUUUCAAACCAAUAACACCAACCAAUCAAUUGUUUUCACUCAGCUUAAAGAAUGUCAAUAGUAACAAACAGCUUAUGAUCAUGUUUUUGAGUAGAAAACAUUCCACAGCUCCCAUAAUUCUGCAUGGAAGAGAGCAUAUAAGGUGAUUAAAAGUUUUGGUGUACACAGAGACAGAGAUGGCAGAAUCAAAAGGACACAAUAUGAGCAAAAUAAAUGUCAGUCGUACAAAUCUUUAGUGUUUCUUUUUCUUUUGGUUAUUUCUGUUUCAGCCAGCCAGAUACGAAAGUGGCAUUUGCCAUUUGUUAUGCAUACUACACGAUUAGUGAAUAACAAAAAAAUAAAUAAAAGUUUUAAGAAAGAAUUAAAUAUAUAGGACAAAUAAACCUAACUAUUGUUAAAUUUUGUCCCAUUAAUACUUCUACUAAUAAUUUAACCUUUUCUACCCUUCUAAUUCGAAUUUACCCAUAUAAUUAAAAUUUAUGAUAUAAAAUUUAUUCUAGAAAGAAAGAAAUAUAUUCGAAAAAGAAAGAAAUAUAUUCUCUAGAUCUGAUUAGGAAAAAAAUAAAAAAUUUAAGAAAAUAAUUAGGAAAUUAAAUAAUUGGAAAAGGAAAUAAAUAUAUUCUCUAGAUCUAAUCCUAGAUUCUCGGAGAUUCAGUUAACCAAAUUGUAGAAUAAGUAUUCUAUAAUUAUAGAACAAAGAGUUUCCGUAGAAAACAAUUCUACUAAGAUAUAGAACAAAGAGGUAAAUAUAGAAAGAUAAUUCUACUAAACUGUAGAACAAUGAAAAAGUUAUAGAAUACGGUUUCAUAACUUUGUAGAACAUAGAAGAACUGUAGAUAACUAAUUCUAUAUAUUUAGUAGAAAACUAAUGAAAUAGUAGAUAGUCUAUUCUAUAAAUUUAUAGAUUUAUAGAAUGCACUUUCUACUAAUUCAUAGAACAUUUGUAAAAAGUUGUUUAAAAUUUUUUUUUGGCAAAAAGAUGUUAUGAAAUGUUUUUGUCUUCCCUUUUCAGAAUGAUCCAAAAUUUUUUAGAUUAUAAAAUUUUUUUUUAAAAUUUUUGUAAUUGUAAAUUAAUGGUAUUUUUAUCCAAAAGUGGUCAAGUUUGAAAAAGUAUUAAGGGGACAAUACUACAGUUUUUUUGUCCUAUAAAUAUAAUUGAAACAUAAGAAGGUCUAGACCCCUAUAUGAAAAUGAUAAUCUAUAAUUAAGUGGCUCUAACUCAUAUGGUUACGGAAUUAUGAAAGACCAGUGGCGGAGGUAUAUACAAUGAGUUGGGGGCAGUUGCCCCCAAUAAAAAAAAAUAUUUAGUGUAAAUUUGUAACAAUAAUACUAGUUGCCCCCACACUAAAUAGCAUAUAUGUUCCCAUUAAAUACGUUUUGUCCCUAAUAGAAAAAUGUUCUGGCUCCGCCACUGUGAAAGACAUCAGUGUGACUUGAAGCAAUGCUUUGUUUACUUCAAAGUUUGAUAUUCUGUGUAUAAUUAAAAAGUUUAGUCAAAAUCAUGAAUUUUCACUCAUUAUCCAUAUAUAAUCUAUAGAGAGACAAUGGUCACGUACGUAACAUUGUCGUUAUUUGACAAAAAAAAACCGUUUGUAUAUCAGAAUAAAACGAGAGAGUAUCUGUUUGGUUUAUAAUCAUACGUUAUUAUACAUAAUUAGACAAAAAUAGAUCGUAAAUGCUUAGGAAACAAAAUAGAUCAUCAUAGAUAUAGGUAAUUAACGGGGAAAAAACAAGAAUUCAUAGCCAAAAAAGAAAGAAAGGAAGUUUUAUAUAUUGAAUGCAGCUAUAGAAAAUACGAAGAUCCAAAAUGAUUGAUUCCUAUUUCCCAUUACGUUUUGGGUUAUAAUUACAAGUUUCUGAAUCAUAUAUUUCCAAUCGAUCGAAUCCAAAAGAAGCAAAACGAAAAGAAAAAAGAAAGAUGUUGAUGUGGGACUACUAAACAAACUAAAUUGGGCUUGACCAUCUGCUAGUAGUAGUCCGGGCUAAUGUCGAUCCAGCCUAAUUUCUUUCAGCCAUCUGCAACGGGGGACUUGCCUGGGAAGCUCAGCGACGACAGCUUCAGCCGGCGGGGGAGGUGGAGUGUUCAGGACUGCCAAAAGAAGCGAGAAGCAUACGCUUAGGACUAGAAUGUAAUGCUUCUUUGGAUAUUCUGCGACUGAGACGGUGAAGGCAGCAAUGAGGACUCCCUGGGCGAUUCCAAUGUCAUCGGUGAUUUUGUUGAUGACCCAGAACGAUAGUAGAAAGAGAAAGUAAAAGAUAGCGGAGAUGGCUAUAUACACAUCUUUCUCUGCCACCAUUCUUUUCCCCAGCCAGAGGAACAAAAAGAAGAAUCUAAUCGUAGUGACUCCCUUGAAGAUAGUGAAUGCACAAUCCCCAAAUUUAACAAGGAUUUUUUGUCGUGCCUUCCGUUACAAAUUGUGGAAUCCAAAUCAAGCAAAAGGAAACCAAUAUCACAUCGGCGAAAUACAUUGCUUCAUCGCCAGAGUGAUUCUUGCAAUACACCGAUUUUUUUAAAAAAAAGUUGUAGAGAUGAGCAGAUAAGCAGCAGCUUGAUACUUGGGAUAAAUAGAACCCAAGAAAACCUGUGAUGCGAGCGGCUGGGUUCAGACUUGGAAAUCGGAUGGUGUACCUGGGAAAAGCUGGAUUUCCGGCCAUGAGUAUUUGGAAAGAAGAAAAUGUAUUGGAGGAAGACAAAGAAAAUGUAUUGGAGGGAAGAACCAGAGGAAUUUAUAAAUCGACGCUGAUAUAAAUGAUAUUAAUGGGCCGGGUCAGUUUGAUUAGAGGCCUUAGAGAUUCGAGUCCUUAAAUUCUUGUCCUCAAAAAAAAAACCUCGAUCUUCAAAUCCCUUUCAUGGUUUAGUCUUGGAAAUUCGAUGGGGAAAAGCUGGAUUUCCGACCAUGGAUGAAUAAAGAGAAAGGCUCUUGGAUAUUUGGAAAGAAGAAAGAAUUAGUGAAUUUGUCCGCGCCUUGCACGAGCUGAUAUUAUUUUUUAUUUGAUUGUUUAAAAAUGUAAUAUAGUUUAGAUUAAUUUUUUUAUUCUUUAUUAUUGUAUAUAUUUGUUUGUUAGAUUUCUUUGCAUUUUAAUGUUUAAAAACAUGAUGUUGACUAUAAAUACUAUCAUUGUCUUUUUUUGUCCAUUUGGCUGAUAUGUUUUUUGAACAAGACUACAAACUAUAUAUAUAUACAUAUUUAUAAUAAUCAUAGAACAUAAUGAUUUGAAGUAUCGUACAAAUUUAUUCGAAGAAUAAAAUAAGAAAUUAAACAAUUUAGAAGGAUGUGAGAGAAUUAGGGAGAAAUUGUGUACAUAUUUAUACUAAAACAUUUGAAGUCAAAAACCGUAAUAGAGACAUGACAAAUUCCGUUAUUCCAUUAGAUAUUCUAUUUAUUGAUUUUUACUUUUUCGUUUAUUUGACUGAAUAUCAAUUAACUAAAUUAGAAAACGGUUUGAUUGACAGUGGACUGAAACAUUAAACCACAAUAAUUUAGAGCGGUAUGUUUUAAGUUAUUGUAAUACAUUAUCAGAUAAAAAUUAAUAAAAAAUGACACUUAAUUGGAAAAUAGGGUUAAAAAGUCUUUUUGCGUCGAAAUUCAUUCUAGAGUUGACACAUAAGCAAAACUUUUUGAAACUUGAUGAGAAACCGAGACCUAAGCUUUUCACUAUACAAAUAGUAUAUAGAAUUGGAGGAAGACGAAUUAAGAAUUGGAGGAAGGAAUUUAUUAAAUCGAUGCCGAUAUGAAUCCUUGUGUUGAUGUUAAUGGGCCGGAUCAGUUUGAUUAGAGUCUCACGGGUCCUUUAAAAUCCCACAAAAUGCCUCUUUCCCGUUCUCCUCAAAAAAAAAACCUCGAUCUAUCUUAUGACCUUUCAUGAACUUAGUUUUCGCAUAGUUUCGAUGGAUUUUUCCCGAUAUAUUGGCAAACCUGAGACGAAUUUUACCGCGUUUUAGAACUUUUGGCGUAUCUGCUCGAUAUGGCGGGUGGGCAAGUGGAGAAGCGAGUCAGAUUGCAGCGCUUUUUCUAAGUAAAAGUUUGAAAUCAGAUUGCAGCGCAUUUUCUAAUUACAAGUGCCAUUAACCUUAUUCAUAUGCAUGAAUGAUUCUGAGUUUCAAGCAGGAUGAUACCAGGCAAAGAGAUAGAUGCCAUUGGGUUUACUUUCCCUACCAAUUAAUCCACAGCCCAUAGGCCUAACUUAGGCCUAACUUAGGCCCAACUUAAGCCCAAAAUGCUCUAUCUUCCGAUCGUAUCACUGUCGUUACCACUCGUCGCCGACAUAUCAAACACGGCACAACUCCCGUCGAUCUGAGAAUCCCCGUCGUAGCUGGUCAUAAAAGAAUAAAACUCACAAUAAUAUAUUAUAGAAGAAGAAGCUUCUGUUUCGAUCAUAUCGGUUACAAAAUCUAAAUUUGUUGUUGUUGUUGUUGUUGUUGUUGUUUUGUUAACAGGUUUACACACGAUCGUCAGUAAGGUAAUCUCAUCGUCCAUGGAUUUUGUUGCUUAUUUUCGAACUACUCUAAACCCUAGAUUCCAAUUUUUGCUACAUCGCCUAUAAUUUUGAUUGAUUUUGACCGAUUUAGGGAACAUAUCUGCUGGAUAUGGCGGGUGGUGGGCAAGUGGAGAAGCGAGUCAGAUACAAGAGCUCUGUCAAGGAUCCGGGAACUCCUGGAUUUCUCAGACUAGUAAGAUUAAUCCACGAACAACUGGUGAAUUCUCGAUGCAUUUUUUUUCUUCUGCUUUCAUAUGUUUCAAUUGAUAAAAUUUCGCAGACGGAAGCAAUGUUGCUAUUUGUCCCAAACGAUCCGAAAUCAGAUUCAAAGCUUAAAGUGCAGACUCUAAACAUCAAAAGUAUGUAUGCCAAUUUACACCAGGUCUUAUUUGGAUAAGAGAUAUAAUCUGUUUUCCUCUUGUGUUUCUCGUUUCUUCAGUUUCUCCAUUGUAAAAUUUCUCAGGUCAAAAAUAUACAAAAGAAGGAUCAAACAAACCUCCUUGGCUUAAUCUGACCAACAAGCAGGUCUUUUGUUGGCCUUUUUGCUGAAAGCUUAGAUGUGUGCAUUUUGAAAGCUUAUUCUGUGUGUUUUAUGAGGCUUCCUAAUCUUUUUGAUCACAGGGAAAGAGUCAUAUCUUUGAGUUUGAAAAUUAUUCGGAUAUGCAUGCUUGCCGUGAUUUCAUCAGUAAGCUCUUUGUGCCGAUGGUUUUCUUUUAUUUAGUGGAAACUACCUUCUAUUGGUUUCUUUCAGUGGUACUGAAACCAUUUUACUAUGAACAGCUAAGGCCCUUGCUAAAUGUGAAGAGGUGCCUAAGAAAUCAGCUGUCUCGACAUCAACUGAGCAGCUCAGUAUUGCAGAACUGGAGCUACGCUUCAAGGUUCUCCGAGAAAAUAGGUAUGCAAUCGGAACACUAGGUUACCUUUUGGGAUCCUUAGAGUUUCUAUUUUCAUAAGUUCAUCGAAUUCCUUAAAACAUAAGUAGUGCAUGCAUGAUAUGUAGUGAGCUGCAAAGAUUGCAUAAGCAAUUUGUGGAAAGUAAAGUUUUAACGGAAGAUGAAUUCUGGGCUACAAGGAAGGUUGGUUCUUUGUAGUUUCUUUGGUUCUCAAUUAUCUGUUUGUUUGAGUGUAAUCAUAGUUACCAGCUUUCUUCUGAUCGCAGAAAUUACUUGGUCAAGUUUCCACUGGAAAGUCAAAACAACAAGUCGGGCUCAAGAGCAUGAUGGUAUCUGGCAUCAAACCAUCUACUGAUGGGCGGGUAUGGUAUAUUUCACUCUACCCCUUCCUGAGAGUCAUCCUUUUCGGUUAAUAAGUUCAGUGCAUGCUUUUGUAUGAAAGAAACAAUGCACCUGUAUAAGUAAACUAUGUUGUGUUUGGUUGAAGUCCAGCCGCUUGCUGUUAUAUAUCGUACAAUUCAUCUGGUUUAUACUAACCACCUUCUUCAAUGUUUUUUUUUUCAGACUAAUAGGGUGACGUUCAACUUGACAUCAGAGAUCAUUUUUCAGGUCAGCUCUUUGGUUGACUAGGUUCUCCACUGAUUUAGGUGCUCUAUAGGGUCAGGAUAAGUUUUACGGUGAACGAGGUCCAUGUUUCAAUUGGUGAUAUUUUCUGUCAUAAAUUAUGUUAUGUGUGGUUCCAUCUGCAUCAUGUGUUUGAACUUACAAACUCCAAAGCGAAACUACAAGCGAGGGAUAGAGACAUUUAUAAUAGCCUUUCAGUUCACCUUCUAUUUUGCGCUGGCUUAGUCCUUAGAUCUGCUGUAAGAAUAGUUGAAUGUUGCUUCACUCAUGCUACUGUCCAUGUCUCACAUAUGAUUCUUUCAUUACGCUUUCAGAUUUUUGCUGAGAAACCAGCUGUUCGGCAGGCAUUCAUAAACUAUGUUCCGAGUAAGGUAACAAAGCCUUCAUGACUAUGACUAUCUUUGUUUAUAGGUUUAACCAUCAAAUCCGACAAAUCUUAAAUGGUUUUUGGUAGUUUUUUACUACGACAGAUGACAGAAAAGGACUUUUGGACAAAAUAUUUUAGAGCAGAAUAUCUUUACAGCACCAAAAAUACAGCAGUAGCUGCAGCAGAAGCUGCUGAGGACGAGGAACUCGCGGUUUUUCUGAAGCCUGAUGAGAUAUUGGCUCGGGAAACUCGUCAGAAGGUUAUUUUGCCUCUACAAUUAUUCAUUUCUCUGUAUUUUAUUUGAGAAGAAAACAUUUUUUUGCAUAUUUAUCUGAUCUGAAUGUCAUUUAUGUAGAUUAGACGAGUUGAUCCGACUCUUGACAUGGAGGCUGACCAGGGAGACGACUACUCUCAUCUAAUGGUAAGCCAACUACCACUGCAUUAGAUGUAUGUUGGACACUGCGUCAAGUGAUUUGUUUUCUAAAAUCCUCAGACCCUGUAUAAGCUGUUAAAUCAAGAAAUUUAGGUUCUUACAAAUGUAAAUUCUGGACUACGCAACUACGUUUGAAUUAUCUGAUCUACUUCUAUUUCUUUGUGCCUUACAAAUUAAAACUACUGCUUUUAUCUUAUACACUAGGACCAUACUUUAAUAUUAGCUUGUAUAGGAAUGUGUUUCAUGCUGAUAUCUAGAAAAUAGGGAUCUUGAAAUCCAAUUUGCGGAUCAUAUCUUCACAUCAUGUGCUUAAUGUAAAUUUACUUUCCAACAGGACCAUGGGAUUCAGCGUGAUGGCACCAAAGACGUUGUUGAAUCACAGAAUGACCAAUUUAGGAGGUCACUGUUGCAAGAUCUUAAUCGCCAUUCUGCUGUUGUAUUGGAAGGCAGAAGCAUUGGUAAAACACUUCUACUAGAGCACCUAUUCUGAUUUCUUCAUCUGAUAUUCUGUGUAACGUCAUGAGAAAUAACUGCAACUGACUCUUACAGCUAGUUCGUAAAGGUUAAAUAUAUAAUGAUGCGCACUUGUACUUUUUUAAUUGAAAAGCAGAUGUUGAGUCAGAAGAUACGAGGGUUGUUGCAGAGGCUCUGACACGGGCCAAACAAGGUUUGCUGUUUCAUUCUGCUAUGUCCUACUUUAAUAUUCUUGCAGAUUGAUGACCGAUGCCACACGUUAUUAUAUUCAUCUGACUUCAGUAUCCAUCUUUAUUACUUUUGUAGUUAGCAAAGCUGAUGGUGAAACCACCAAGGACGCUAAUCAGGAUAGAUUGGAGAGAAUGUCUCGGACAGCGGAAAUGGAGGAUCUUCAAGCACCACAAAAUUUCCCGUUAGCACCGCUAUCUAUCAAGGUUUGGCUUUCUGCCAUUAAAGGGUUUUCAGUGUUGAUGAUGGAUGCUUCAUAAAUCCUCUAACCCUUUCUUUUUUUUUUUUUGGAAUUUAGGACCCUCGUGAUUACUUUGAAUCUCAACAAGGAAACGUCCUCAAUGAACCUAGAGGAGCAGGGGCAUUAAAUAGAAAUGUCCAUGAAGCUUAUGGGUUGCUAAAAGAAUCCAUUUUGGAGAUUAGAACUAAAGGAUUAAGUUAUCCGUUGAUUAAAUCAGAAGUUUCCUUUGAGGUGCUACUCUAUCUCAUGAUAAAAUGUGUGCUUACUAAAAGAAACCAUGGCUUAUUGCUUUGGUGCCUGCGCUAAACAUUGCUAACCUAUUCAGGUUUUCAGUUCGUUAACCCAAACUAUCUCAACUGCCAAAAAUAUUAUCGGGAAGAACCCGCGAGAGAGCUUUCUGGACAGAUUACCAAAGUCCACCAAGGAUGAAGUUCUACAUGUAAGUCAUAAGUAACAAUAACACCUAUGGAUUCUGUUGUCCCCUCAAAAUGGAUCACAAGAGUACUUUUUCUUUUUUCUUUUUCUCUUUCAUCUACAGCACUGGACAUCAAUACAAGAAUUACUGAGACAUUUUUGGUCAUCUUACCCAAUAACAACCACAUAUCUUCACACGAAGGUAAAUUUGUUCCCAUUUCAUAAUUCUCCUAAUCCCAGAAUUUGCUAUAUACAAAUAUUCACAACUUAUUUUACUCCAAGAGCAAGAUCGUAUACUAGGAUAUUAUGUUUUACUAUGCAGGUUGGUAAACUGAAGGAUGCAAUGUCCAAUACUUAUUCACAACUCGAUGUAAGCUAUGAAAUUCUUCUUCAAGUCUUCCUGAUAUAAUAAGCUACUCGUAGUCUAUUAGAACAGUCGUUCCAAAUCUCUCCAUGCCAGUAAUUGCAUAUGGUCUAGUGUGUGCGUUCGUGUACGGGUUCCUUGAUAUUAAUCUGCAUGUAACUCAGGCAAUGAAACAGUCGGUGCAAUCUGAUCUCCGGCAUCAGGUUUCUUUACUGGUUCGGCCAAUGCAACAGGUUAGCCUCUUCCAAUACUUACAGAAGAAGUUUUAUGACAGCAUCUCUCGAUCGGUUAAGUCUCCACACGCAUUGUAUCGGAUCUAUCCGAUUUAACCAUCCAAUCCAGGCACUACAUUGUAAUCCGGGUAACACAGUGAAAUCUGAGUGAUCUUAACCCGUUUUGUCCAUCAGGCCCUUGAUGCUGCGUUCCAACACUACGAAACAGACUUGCAGAGAAGAACCGCUAAGAGCGUUGGAGGCAGCAGCAGCGAAAGACCAAACGGGGGCGUUUAGAAGACAACACGCAUCUUUGUUUUGUUUCACAAAGUGUAAUUGAUGUUUUUGAGAUUUUUCUUUGGUUGCUUUUUGUCCGAUCAUUGAGAAUACAAACAAAAGGCGGUUAUAUUGUCUAAUCGAGGCGCUUUGUACUUGAAAGAGCAAUUUUCUUCAACAUCAUUCUCGAACUAAAGUACCCACUGAAUAUAAUUUAGCUUUUGAAGUGUAGUAGAUAAGAUUCUCCAGAGGACCUUAAGAUUGUUGCUUGAGUUACAAGAAACCUCCCGAUGCCUAGUUACAAUGAACAAUAAUAAUAGGGAGAGGCUUCUGUUUACAUAAAUUUCAAUGGGAUAUGACAAUGAUCAAAUUACAAAACAAACAUUCCAGAUUGGAAAGAGAAAAAGAAAAAAAAAACUUCGAAGAUAAAGAAAGAUGCAAGACUAAGUCCAAUACAUAACCUAUAAGAAAUAAAUUUUUAAUCCAAGAUUCAAAUACAUCAUCAAAGUUUUUUGUAGUUUGAUGGUGGACUUCAUUAACCAUGCGAAUCACACACUUGCCGUGGAGAUGGGACAACAAGAGGUCCACUUCGAUUUAAGCUAAAAAUCUAUACUAUUAAAUCAGCAUAUUUAACUAAAUAUCAUAUCAGUAAUUCACAUAUAAUACAUAAGGGACAUUCGAAAUUAAUUCAAAAAAAAAAAAAAGGUAAAAUGGCCAAUCAAAAAAAAUUAUUUUGAGUCCGAAUAACUCUAAUUAUUAUUUUAUUUUUGGUCACAAAACGCGAAUAAUAACUCUAGUUAUAUAUAGUGUUUUUUUUUCUUCUAUAUACACUUGUAGUUGUAGUUAGUUAACAGGACAAAUUAAAAUGAUGUAAAAAACUAUAAAGAUAAAUGAAAAUAUGAGGAAUAAAUUUAUGAUCUCUUCGAUUUGCAUUCUUUUGAAAAAAGCUAAACUUGUCUUCUUCAACGGAUGAAAAUUUAGUAGCGAGAAGGAAACUUCCUAGCUCACGCUCUUCACUUCAAUCUGAGAUCUCAUCGCAACUAAAUCACACAGAGAUCACAAAUCUCGUGAAGUGAAACUUUUUAAUUGUAUUCCUUGAAAAUAACAAACCCAUCGAAUUUUUGUAGACUAAGCUUCUCCAUCCAUUCUUCCUCCUACAGCAGAUCCGAAGACGAAGAAGAAAUCAAACUAGUUCCGGGUUUUUUAUCUUGCUAGUUUGUUGAGUUAUGCUGGAUUUGGUUUUCAAUCUUUCUUCUCUGACCGUUCGUUGACUUGCUUAGGUAAAAAUAUCGGGAUCUCUUUGCAAGUUCCUUUCAUUCCUAUGAAAAUCACUCAACUAUGUGUUGUAUUGAUUCUUUGUUUGUGGUCUCGAGGUUUGGGUUAGCGUUUGAAAACGUUUUUGACUAAAGCUUUGAAAGACAAAUUCGAAUUGGAUUCGCGUUACUCUAUAUCAAUGAAUUUGUUCUUCAAGUAUCUACUGAUUCAUGCAAAUCUUAAGCUUAGACCUUAAAGUAACGCAUUUUCAGUUCAAGUUCGCCUUUUGUUGCGGUUUCUAUUCUGUGAAGAUCAAUGGGCUUUGAUAUUGAUGAUCUGAUUGGUCUCCCAAGUUUUCAGAUUUAAAUUGUGUUCGAUACCUAAUCUAAGGUUUGGGUUACAGGUACAAGUCUCUCCAUCUCCAGCUUCUAGAAGAAGACAACAUUUUAGUGUAUCCUCGUUGAGUCUAUGGGUUGUUGUAAGGUGCCGGCUCUUAUUCAGGCGCAGGUAGAAGUAAGUUAGUUCACGAGAUCAGUGUCUUGUCUCUUUUUUUUUUGGCUCCUCAUUGUCAGCUGAUUGGAAAAAGUUGUCAUUGUAAACAGAUGGGUUUGGUAAGUGAAGUUGAGCACAAAAGACUUUUCAGACGAGAAACAGAUUCACCACAAACAAAAGCUGCUUCUUUGAUGGAGCAAGGUGGAUCAUUUUCUGCAAAUUUUCAAGAGCGCACAGCUAAAGCACCUAAGCACAGCGUGCUCCAGAGCUUCAAGAUCGUCAUUUUAUCGAAUAAACUCAAUCUUUUGUUGCCUUUCGGUCCACUAGCAAUAUUACUCCACUAUUUGACAGAUAAUAAGGUGAGCAAUGUUAGUUUCGGGUACUAAAUUUUAGCACUUUCGUUCCUUCUUGUUAUGUCAUCAAGAAAUGAUUCUUAUGGCUCAGGGAUGGAUCUUCUUACUGAGCUUAGUAGGAAUCACACCAUUGGCUGAACGUCUCGGAUAUGCCACAGAGUAAGCCGUUGCUCGCACUUGCAACUCUUAACUUACAUUCUAUUAGCAAGACUUGUAUAAAAGUACCCGUUUGUUUAUUCUUUGUAACAGGCAAUUGGCUUGUUACACAGGUUCAACUGGUAUGACUUGGUUUCUUCUAAAUACACAAGUUCAUUUUCAGGAUUCCUUUCCCUCCUGAUUAGUUUUUGACGCGCUAGAAAAAUUUCACAGUUGGAGGCCUCUUAAACGCUACAUUUGGAAACGUGACAGAGCUGAUCAUAUCUAUUUUCGCUCUUAAAAAUGGAAUGAUACGCGUUGUACAGCUGACACUGCUCGGCUCCAUUCUUUCUAACAUGUUGCUUGUACUUGGCUGCGCCUUUUUCUGUGGGGGGCUUGUAUUUUCCCGUAAAGAGCAAGUCUUUGACAAAGUAGGCAUAUCAAUUCACUUGUUGUCUCUUUUUUUUCCUGUUUUGUUCUUGUUGUUCUGUAAUCUUUACCAUGUUUCUGAGCUUAUAUCUUCUGCAAUACAGGGGAAUGCGGUUGUGAAUUCAGGACUGCUUUUGAUGGCUGUUAUGGGGCUACUCUUCCCCGCUGUUCUUCAUUACACGCAUAGCGAGGUUCAUGCUGGUUCGUCAGAGCUGGCUCUUUCAAGGUUCAGUAGUUGCAUAAUGCUUGUGGCCUAUGCUGCUUACCUUUUUUUUCAGCUAAAGAGCCAGCCCAGUUCUUAUACCCCUCUUACCGAGGUGUGUCAUCUUCGACCUUUAGUUUUUUCUUACAGAUGCCUGGAAACGAUGGUGAAGACAACUUCAAAUAUUAAAUGGUUUCUUACAAGUUACAAACCAGUUUCAUCAUUUAUGGGCUCUGUUCAUUUUUCUUCUUGGUUGCUCUCUCUACUAGCUGGACUUCAAUCUGCUGUUUGGUGAAAAUUUGUAAACUUUAGGAUAUGAACCAGAGCGAAGAAACUUCGGACGAUGAUGAAGAUCCUGAGAUCUCCAAGUGGGAAGCAAUCAUCUGGCUUUCAAUCUUGACUGCUUGGGUCUCUCUUCUUUCAGGCUAUCUUGUCGAUGCCAUUGAGGUAAAUCACUACCCUUUUUUUUUUUCUUUCUAGAUCUUAUCUUUAUGAAGAUUUUACAGUAUUAACUUGACUUGUUUAUGCCAUAUGAUUAGUACGGCAUUAUAACGUGAGUAUACUAGCUGGCUUAUGGUAAAAACUCAACCGAUGCAAUACAUAAGUUGGAAUAUGUUUUAGAUACUUGUAAUAUUCCUAAUCACAUGCACGAGUCCAUCAAAAGCGCCAAUAUUUUCUGUAGAAGUGUCUUGUCAAAGAGUGACUAGAAACCAAUGAUCACUACAACAUAACAAUGCGAGUUUGGCUUACUGUUUUCUGUUGUUUGUGUUUUUCAAUAUAUAACAGGGUGCUUCGGUCUCAUGGAAGAUACCAAUCUCGUUUAUUAGUGUCAUCUUGCUUCCUAUAGUUGGAAAUGCGGCCGAGCAUGCAGGUGCUAUUAUGUUUGCCAUGAAAGACAAGCUGGUACGCAGACUAGUCUCUUGCAAUUCUGAUGUCUUUGGUUUAUCUUUUUUUAGGUGUAUAUUUAUUAUACUCUCCUCUACAGGAUCUGUCUUUGGGAGUGGCUAUUGGAUCGUCAAUCCAGAUUUCCAUGUUUGCGGUACGUAUAAGAAAUGUGAACCUGGGGUCUAUAUAGUACUGAACAUUCUCUUUACAGAUCUGGCCUGACUUUUGGCCCGAUUAUGGAUAUAGGUUCCAUUCUGUGUGGUGAUCGGAUGGAUGAUGGGUGAACAGAUGGAUCUGAAUUUCCAGCUAUUUGAGACUGCUACACUGUUCAUAACUGUGAUAGUUGUAGCAUUCUUCCUCCAGGUGGGUUCAUAAUCUUGAAGCAAUUAAUUACGAAAACCAAUCUUGACGUUAAAUUAUGUCUCUGUGUUUGUCGUUGUGCAGGAAGGGACAUCGAAUUACUUCAAAGGAUUGAUGCUCAUUCUCUGCUAUUUGAUAGUUGCUGCCAGUUUCUUUGUACACGAAGAUCCUCAUCAAGGUUAGGUGUUGAAUUUGUUAUCUUCUUCCCAUAUAUUACGUAAAUGGUAACAUUAACCAGAAAACCUGGUUCGUGUGUCUGCGGAAACGACUUUGAAUUGGUUUUUUGUGUUCUUCGUUACUUGACAGAUGAUAUAUAGCCAUCCCAAAAAACACGUGAAUCUGGUACGUGUCCUAAAACUAAACCCUGGUGAUCUUACUUACAUGUACAUUUUUUUUUUAAGAUUCUGGAGUUAAUGUUUGUAUCAGACCAAACUGAAAGUUGUCCCAGUUUACGUUUGAGGCCCCUUCCUUGGGGGCUGGUUUAGGGUUGCAAUUUUGUGAAAUUACUUUGAUUAUCUUUAUAUAUAUUAUAUAAUCUAUUGGGAACUUGUAAUCGGAAUUUCUAUAGAUUAGGCAUCUAUCCAAGCGUUGCGCUCACCUAAAACAAUUUAACAUUUCUAUACAUAUUAAUAAUAUAUAUCACAUUAACCAUAUAUAUAAAUCAGAUUAUUCAUUCGAUAGUAAUUUUGUUUUAAAUUCAUGGUGUCCUGCUACCAAGAUGCAAGACCGGCUAAGAAACCUUUUAAAGAUUAUGCGUUAUGUUCAAGAUUUUUGUAAUACAAAAAAAAAACUCUAUUUGAUGAAUUGUGUCAUGGAUCCUAUGUGAAUUAGUGAAUACACAAAUGCGAGAAUCUCUUACAAGAACAGCCAUGUCCGCUUUAUAUUAAAAGAAAAAAAAAAUAUCAGGUUUGUUGAGUGUACAUUGUAAAAAAAAAAAAAAAAAGGAGAAAUGCAAAACGACGACACAGUUACACUCGUCGUUUGCAAAAACAAGAGGGAGGGCAUGAGGCCAUGUUGUGGAGAUCACCUCCAAACAAAAAAAUAAUAUACGAUGUGGGGCCCAUAUCGUAGGCCAUAGGCAGAAAGAACUAAAACCAUACGUCGUUUUUGAGGCUUCCCACUCCAGUAAUAAUUGGUUCAACAGUCAAAAAUGUAAAACCUACAGUAGUAAGUAAGAACCGUUCAGUUACCGUUGGUUAAAACAGUAAACUUAUUCACUUUGUGGGGCCAGUUCGUUUGAGCAGCCCAUUAGCCUAUCUAAUCAACAGGGCCCAUCUCUUGUCUGAAGGAUGCAUACGCCUUUUUUUUAACAGCUACCCACCCACAUUACCAACUCUAAUCUACCCAUCUACUGUACGGAUUGAUUUAACAUACUGUAUUUGAUUCUUCAAUACCCUAUUUUGACUUCCUGUUGACUAUGUGUUUAAAAUGAUUUUCAUUCAAGGCCUUAAAUCGUAAGCGAACAACAAUUUUUGCGUACGUGUACGCUGGUAAUUGGUGUACUGUGCGUUAAAAUACUUUAUUAAUAAAAUGUUCAUCGAUUGUAGCAAAUCACCUUCACGGGAAGAAGAACAGAACAGUUCAAAACUUGAAAAGGUAAAGAAGGCAAAGAGUUGACUCCAUGGAUUCAAGAGACCGUGUCAGGCUUCUUCUCUAAGCGAUCCUAAACCCCAUUACAGAUGUUACGUUGUUAAUUUACAAAUUAAUAAAAUCAAAUUAUUUUCUCUUCUUUUCUUUUUGGUAACCAUAUAAAAUCCAUUUUCUUUAUAAUACUAUUUGGUCAUAUUAAACUUUAAUUUUUUUGGAAACUACCACAGCUUCCGUUUUUUCUAACGUUAAUACAUAUAUAAAUCUUCUUAAUCAAAAAAAAAUUAAUACAUAAAUUGUUUAAUUAAGGGUUUUGAAGAGCUUUAAUUAGAUUCUUCAUUACAAUUUAUUUACUCAGAAUCUCUUAUGAAAAGUUUAAGAAAAAAAACUUUAAACCUUUUUCGUAUUUUAUAAAAAAGAUUAUGGUGUUUUUGAAAGGAAAAAACAAAUUUCAUGCUUUAUUAGAAAAAUUUCCUUAUAAUAAGUACGGUGUUGUAAGUUAACAAUAUAUUUUCAUCUAGACACAAUCUUCGUUCUUCUGUACGCUCCAUCUUUUUUUUUUUUUUUUCUCUGUCGCUAAUAAUAGACUAGGUGAAGACCCGCGUAUACGCGGAUUUAUUAUAUUAUUUAUAUUUUUUAAUUUGUGUUUAAUAAAAUAAAAAUUUUUCUAUCAGUGUAUAAGAGUUAACUUUUUAUUUUUAAGAAAAUUAUCCUAACAAAUACAACAUAAUUUGUGAUAGAAGACAUUUGAAGAAUUUGUUUAAUGUUCUCUAAACUAACUUAAACAAAAAAAAAAAGUGGUUUGUAAUUUUGUGAUGAGACCAUAUGUAUUUAUUAAUAAAUCUGUCAUACUUUCAUGUUCUUGUAAGCUCUUUGCCUUCUUUUCUAAAGUUGGCAUCCAUCUCCCACAAGCCUCAAAGUCAUUCACCAUGUGUUACCAACAUUUUCUGAUGGGAUCGUUGAUUUGACAAGAUUAAUAAGAAGACCGAACAAACCAAUGAUAACUGAAAUAUAGAUUGAUUUUUGCCCAAUAUAUAUCCAAAAUUAUCCCCCACAAAGAGUAAAACCUUUAUCUUCUCGAUUAAACAGAUAAUGAUCAUGACUUUAUCCUUCUACUACUCAGGAGCCUAUAAUAUGAUGAUAAUAAAGUUUUUUCAAAAGAGAUACAAUCUCAACCAAGUUUUUAUGAAAUCAAAACUCUUGGCCUGAAUAAAUUGGUAUGUAUAGAUAACAUGUGAGCUAACUUAAAUAAUUCUAAUUUGUCAAAAUACAAGCAAGCUCUGUUUACAAUAUUAUGUGAUUAUAUUAACUUGCUAUCUCAGAAGUGUUUUUUUUUUUUUUUCAGAAUUGUCUAUUUUAUUUAAAAAAUAUAUUCAUGCCACGACAACCAUACAAAAUCUUGUGACCAAUAAAAGGUAGUAUCUAGAUGCAACUUGGAUAAUAUAAAGCAUCUCUGUAUUGUUAUUCACUUUUUCAGUUAACUGAAAGAAUUGCGUUAUAAAUCUAUAGAUAUAUCAACCAAAAAAUAUGGGUAGAUGAUAAGGAAGUACCUUAAGGUGAUAUGUGCAUUCUGGUGAUGUACCAUGUGCAUUGACUAAAUUCCAUUUUCACAAUAUUAUGAGCAAGCGGCUAAUAUCAUAGCAUAGACUUCUAAAAUAUAUCUAUAAUAAGUAAUUGACUAUAAGCCGUAAGUAAGAUAAUGUCAACCAUAAAGAACAUUAGAUAACUUUUAAAUUAUAUCAGGAAACUAAGAGAGAAAAUAUCAAACAACAAAAUUGCUAGUGCGCAUCUUAUUGAGAAAAUAUAUGCUUUUACCGAGGAUUUUUAGCGAUGAAACGUUUUUUUAAAGGAAAAGGAAGACGAAGAAUUUAGAAAUCGAUUAUAAUACAUAAAUUAGAGAUGACAAGUAGCUGAUUUUAAUUUGAUUUUUUAAGCUGAUAUGUUUUAAGAAGAAAAGCUUAUGUGUCAAGCUUGUGAGACUUAAUUGAAUCUUUAUAUAAUAGAUUAUUAAAAAAAUGAAAAAAUUGUCAAUAAAAAGCUAAUCUUUUGCAUAUACAUUAUAUAUUUCGAGAAAAUGCUGUCUGAACUUCGUUUAUUAAUAACUACAAGCUUUCUGAAUAAUCUCAUGCAAAUAUAUAUAUUAAAAAUGAUCGUGUAAGAGUUAAAACAAAAAAUCCUAAGUUUAUCGGAGCCAUUGAUACAUCAAUUUACGAAGAAAGAGUCAGAGGGAGAGACAUUGCACUUUCUCUUUUUGUUAAACAAAGAAGACGGGCGCAUUUGACCUCAAUGUAAUAAGGUUUGGAACUCGAGGAAAAUAUGGAAAGGAAAAAAAUUGAAAGAUUGCUUGUGAAUCAGGAAAAGCAAAUCUCACAAGCCUUUGAAAAUGCAAUUUCUUCUCAGUUUAAAAUAUUUAUUAUUUCUGACAAACUGGUAUAUAUGAUUAAAAAGUUAUUUGUAAUUGUAUGUUUCUUCGUUAAGUCUUAACCACUAGUUAUCGUACCAAAGGGAGCAAAACAAAAAAUGUUUCUCAGUACGCUCCAUCUUCCUAUCUUGAAUUUUUAAAAAUCAAUAUAAACUAAUGACUUUACAAAUUAAUUAUUAAUUAAAUAGAGUUUUUAUCCUAUAUUUCUUAUUUGAAAAUGAAUACCAAACUCUCAGAUGUUAAAAUCUGUAGUUUUUGAAAAAAUAUGUAUGAAAUGUAGUAAGUACAAAGUGGAAGGGUAACGAAAACGAUCAAUAACUGCAGAAUAUUUUGGGCUUUGGAAUGGUAUAUAUUAUUAUUAUGGCUGUCACUCUGCGGAGAAAGUGACAUUUCCUUGUUUUUUUAUUUAUUAUAAAUGGCUUUGUAAUCUUAUAUAUAAAACUUGGCCAACUUUCUCCAGCUCCUUGCCACAUCAACACUGGAGAAAGCGCCACCUGUCCAUUUAAAAUCUUAAUGAAAUAAACAAUUAAUCACAUUUAAAGAAAAAGCAUUAAAGAACAUUAAUAAAUAUUAAUAUGUAUAACAAAUGUAUUUAAAUAAAUAAAUUCAAAUUUAUUUUAAAUAUAUCAAAACUUAUAAAUAUUAUAUAAUAUAAAACUUUUUGAAAUACAUCAUUCCAUUUCUUCUUUUCAAGUGAUUUAAACUACAUUUUCAAACUAAAAGUAUAAUUAAAUUUUUAUGAAAGUGAAAAAAAAUUAUCAGACUGAAUAAGUUAAGAAAUUUUAAAUAAUCUUAUAUAAAACUCUAACUAAUAAAAUUAUAACACACAAAAUAUUCAAUAAAUGAUUAAAGAGUUAAAAACAUUACUAAAAAAUAAUAGUAAAAAAAAAGUGGAUACAUAAAAAUGUCAUACAAAGUUUUUUAGUAAUUUUUAAAAAGAUGUAAUCAAUAAAAUAUAUAUAACCAAAAAAAAUCAAAAUGGUAAAUUUUUCUAUGAGCUAUUACGUUUUUAUAUAAAAAUUAAAAUAGUAGAUCUUUAGUCUCUCAUUACCGUAUGAAAAAAAUUGGAUUAUUUGGUACAACCGGUGUGAAAGAGAUUACAAAUAAUUUAUCAUCUAGAAGAAAUCGGAAAAUAUAAAUAUUUUAAACGAAAAAACAUUGAUGGUAAAAAUAAAAUUCAAUACAAAUCUUAUAUAUAAAAGACAAUCAACUCUCUCCAAAUGAGUGACACAUCAGCAAUGGAGAGAGUGACCUGUGGCACAUCCAAAAAUUGAUAAAAUAAAUAAUUAAUUAAAUUUAAAGCAAAACACAUUAAAAACAUAAAUAAAGAUUAAUAUAUAUAUAUUUAUAUAUACAUACAUUAGAAUACAAUUCAAAUUUAAUUUAAAUAUAGAAAAACUUAUAAAUUAUAUAAUACAAGAUUUUUUAGAUGCACUAUUCUAUUUUCUUCUUUCAAGUGAUUUAAUUUUUUUUUCAAACUAAAAAUAUACUAAAUUUUAAUGCAAAUAAAAAAAAUUAAGACUGAAUAAAUUACGAAGUUUCAAGUAUUCUUAUAUAAAACUUCAACUAAUAAAUUAAAAAACACAAAAAAUAUUUAAUAAAUGAUUAAAGAGAUAACAAUUAUUAAAAAAAAAUAGUAUAAAGAAAGAUGUGCACGUAAAAAUAUCAUACAUAAAUUUAAAUUAAAAAAAUGGAAUCAAUAAAAUAUAUAUAACUAAAAAAUUCAAAAUGGUAAAUUGAAAAAGUUAACAAGUAUUAUAUUAGUAAGAUUUACAAGAAUAAAAAGAAUAUGAAGAUCGAAGAACAAAUAAAUAUUCUUUUCUGAUAUUAAACGUAUAUUUAUAAGCGAAUUAUUACGUUUUCAUAUAAAAUUUAAAAUAGUAUAUUUUUAAUCUCUUAUUAUUUUGGAAGAAAAAUCAGACGAUUUGACACAACCGGUGUAGAAGAGAUUACAAAUAAUUAUCAUUAAAAAAAAAUCAAGGAAAAUAUAAAUAUUUUAAACGUAAAAACAUUGAUAAUAAAUAUAAAAUUCAAUACAAAUUUUAAAAAUAUAGUAUUUAAAUAUAUAUUAAAACAAGAUCCGUGUAUACCACGGGUUCUCUCCUAAUUUAUUUAAAAGGACUUUGUUCUGCACUGCACUGCAAAACGGAGAUUUCGCCAUCUUCUUUGUCACAAUGUCAAGUUGCUCUCAAUUCUUGGAUUCUCUCCAUCACAUCCAAAUCUUUCUUUUAUAUCUUUCCUCUUGUAUUUCCCAUUUUUUUCUUUUGUUUUUUUUUUUCCGUUUUUUGUUUGAUUUGUUGUUUGACCCUCUUUUUAGCUUAGCUACCCAUGUUCGUAUUAUUCACUUAUUAAUGUUUCUUAAAUAUGAUGCUAACGUUACUAUCAUGUCUGAAAUUCACAAGGGCGAAUUUUAGGAAUAUACUAUAUUAUAUAUGUAUCUUCAAAAACUCAGAGUGCAUACACACUUUUCGAUGUUUUUUUUGGCUCAGCGCUAGAUAUUGUAGUCGGCUGAUCGGCUCACAUUUGGUUUUAAUUACUGAAAAAGUGGUCAAUUCGGGUUUCAAAUCAUACUUUUUCUCUGGUUAGACUAGACUACUUAAUUUUGUCUAUAUAUAUUAUACAUCACUCUCUACAUAUCUAUGAAAACAUCAAAGGGAAUAUAUGUUUUAACUAUGUUUUUUUUCAGUCAUUUUAGAUUAUUUACAUAUCGGAUGUAUUGCCUGUUGUAUUAUAAACUUGUAAUGGUCCCUUAUGGACACUGUAUACGCAUUGUUUACUUAUAUAUAUAUAUAUCACGUGUAUACAUCUACAUAUACAUCAUGCAUAGAUGUAAAAAUGUUAUUCUGGACCACCGACCUCCUAAAGAAAAAAUGAUACCAAUAAUUAUGUAAUUAGUACUGUGGUUAUUUGCUGGUGGGAGUUCCCGAACAUUAAAUGCUUUUAACUGGAAUUUAUUUGUCUGCACGCAAUUGAAUAGCAAAGUGGAAAUUUAAUGGCGCGAAUGAUGGUUUGAUGAUGCGUUUUGGAGUCACAUAGGAAGACACGACAGUGUCUUGUGUCGUUUAUUAGACAUAGGGGGUAAAAAGUAAAAAAAAAAUAUAUGAUUCAAAUAAAAUCAUUCGACAAUGAUGUAAUAUUUUCCCUCCGAACUGAACUAUGUUCUAUGCUGUUUUUUUUUAACGUACCGUUAUGUCUGAUGGGACCAUUCUCAUUUAUUGCUGGACCCGUUUAUUUUUAACCAAAAUAAAUUGGAAUCGUGAAAAGAAUUUAACAAAAAAUAUCGUGAAAGCAAAAAUAAGGUACAGUUUUUAUUUUGCUGUUUAAAUGGUACAAAAUUGGUGGUAAGAGUCCAUGAGUGAUGCAAUGGACCGUUUGUUCAAUAAUCAGCUUGAAAACAAUCGAUGUAUGAUACUGGUAAGAAUAAAUACAUAUAGAUAUUGAGUUGGUACUAUUGUGUAGUAAUUAUUAGAACACAAUAAUUAAUCUAUCAGAAUGUCAUUUAUUUAAUGCUUUAGAAAUCCACAAUCCUAGUAUGAAUCUAAAAUGAUGGGGAAGCAUGCAUUAAAUACAGCAGGCUGGAAAGUCUUGACACGUGUCCAUAUCCAUAUGUGGUUGUAUGAAAAGUCAACUUACUGCAAUUCAUUACCACCAUCCUUUUGCUCUAAUCAAACAAAACAUUUUUAUUUCUUCUUUUCUUUUUGAGAAAACGCUUUUAGCUCUACUAAAAUAUCUCAUGGAACUUUACUGAUUUACAUAACUAAUCAACCUUUUUCUUUUUUUACAUCUUACUAAAUGUCAUUCAAGCUAUUAGUUUAUUGACUAAUAUUUUAUCUAUAAAUCAUGCAGAUUUAGUAAUUGGUUUUAUACCCAAUUAAAUAUAUUUUUGAAUUAUUAAAAAAGGAUUGAAACGAUAAUAAUUUUGAAUACUUCUUUCCCAAUAUAAUCUGAUCAGAAAAAGUUCACCAAUAAAUCGAUUUGAAUAAAAUGAUACAUGAUAUACUGUAAAAAAUGCAAAGAAGUAAAUAACAGAAAUUAUGCGUUGUGACUUAUCUUAUAUAUAUAAAAGUUGCUUAACUUUCUUCAUAUGAUUGACAUAUCAGCAAGGAAUAGGUUGACACAUGUCCUUAAAUUUUAAUUAAUAAUUUUUAAUAUUAAAUUUUAAAACACUUAAAGAAUAUGAAAAGUUUAUUUUAUUAAUUGACUCUUAAUUCAAAUUUAUAUUAAUGUUAAACAAAAGUUUAUGUUAUAACUAAUUAAAAAUAUUGAUAGAUAUGUAUUUAAUUUUUAUAUAAUUGUAUAUUAGUUAAUAAUAUUUAGAUUACUUAAUAAUAUUGAAGAUAUAUUUUAAAUUAAUUUUUUAAAAUUAUUUAUAAUAAAAUACUAACAAGUAACAAAUGAAAUGAUGAUUAUAUUAAUUUUAUUUUUUAAUUAAUUGACUAUCAAUUAAUAUUUCUGUAAAUGUUAAACAAAAUUUUAUGUUAUAACUAAUUAAAAAUAUUAAAUGAUAUUUAUUAAUCUUGAUAUAACUUUAAAUUAUUAAAUAAUAUUCAAUAUGUAUUAAUAUUUUAUAAUUUUUAGAAUAAAUAUUAACAAAUAAGUAAGUAAUAAGUAAUGAUUAUAUUAAUUUUUAUAAAAAUAUAAAAUAAAGUUUGAAAAUUUUGAAAAGAAAAAUUGGCACGUAACGUGCGGAUAUUCAAAUAAUAAUAAAAAAGACUAUUUUGUGGUCAAAAAACUAAAAAUUCUAAACUCGAAGAAAACAAUCUCUUUCUCCUUUUUGAUCUCUAUAUGUGUAAGACUUAAAGGUCUGAUUUUAUUCAACAUUUUUGUUUAAUUUUACUAAGUUUGUAUGUAUGUAUACAUUAAAUGUAAUAAUUGUUCAAUAUCUACAUUUUUCGUUGUAAUUAAACAACAUAAUAGAUAUCGUAAAAUUUAAAUUAACAAUAAUUAUUUAUAUAAGACAAGACAUUAUGUUAUGUACUUAUGUUUAAAGGAUGCUUACCUUUUUUUGUCGGCAAAGGGUACUUACUUACAACAUCUAUUGAACAGUCGAGAAAAUAAUUUUAUCAAAAUAGUUGAAAAUCGUGAUGCUUUUUUUUUUUUUCUUACAUUUGAAUGAAUAAUUUAAUAGUCACUUAUAGAGGGAAGGGGAAGGAAGAAAAGGACACGCAUGCAAAAUGAAGGCAGACCAAAGAAAGGGUAAGAAAAAGCAAACUGACGAAGCUUAAUAAAACUUUCACCUUCCCCAUUGUUUGUUCACAGAAAAAGGGACCAACAGAUAAAUUAAUAAUACCAAACCAAGAGAAUUUUUAUUUAUUCAUUCCUUUUUUUUAUAUUAAUGCAAAAGAGAAUAUUAUUAAGUAGCGAAAUUCAAGACUUAAAAGAAGCAGAAGAAGAAGAACAACAACAACACGCGAGAAAAUCCAGAUCUUUCCCUCUCUCUCUCUCUUUCCGCAUCUCACUUUUUCCAUCCUCGAAGAACCCUUUUCUUGCCCUCUACUUUCUGUGGAAAUUUCGUAUUCUCGCUUCUUCGUUUGUUAAUUUAACGUGGAUUCCGAUCGUUUGGAGUUACUGGAAUCGGAGAGAUCGUAUUUCGUCAAGGUAAAUUUCAGAGUUUAAAAGUCCUUUCUUUAUUAUACUGUUCGUCGGUGGGUAUGUUCACUGUUUCCCGAGAUUCGAGUGUGAGAUCCGUUUUGUUUUCUAUCGGCAUUGCUGCGAUUUCAAGCGGUUUUAAAGUGUCGGUGAAUCAUUGAGAGAAAGAGGAGGAGCUUCGUGGUUUUCGUUCUCGAUGCUCCUCUCCUCUGACUACUGUUUCAUUUUUAACGGUUUCGUCUCUUUUAAAGUUUCGAGAUUGCAUUUAUGGCGAGCUAAAGUAAUGCGUUUUUUUUUCUUUUGUUUGUUUUAGGACAAGACAAGUGUAGAUAAGACUUAAAUGCAGAGAAAUCGAGUGAAUGUAUUCAUAAGCCCCACUUUAAGAGCAGAUCUGGAGCUUUCACUAGGAUUCUGCUAAUUUCGUAUACUAAGCUGGUAGAAAUUAUCAAGAAGCACAAAAAGGUUAGGUUUUUUCGUUCUAUGUUUUUUUUCUUUUUGGUGGUAAUGGCUGAGGCAAAUAUCUUGUGGGGGAUACUUUACUUCUUAUGUUCACGGGGAAUCUCCGCUUUGGAGUUUAUGGCCGUGUAACAUGACCUUUAAUGCCAUCACAGGAAGAUUCAGUGGCAAACAUUUAAUUGGAAAAACUCAAAAAAGAAAAGAUGAUUCUUGAUUUGAUAUCUCCUACUUUGUAUAACCGUUGCCUUCUCUUUCUCCAGGUUUGUUUUGUCUCAUAAGUGAUGGUGCAAUAAGUCACAUGCAUGUCCUCUGAAUCCGCGUAGCAUCAAGAAACUUUCCCUUUGAAUUGAUGAUGUCAGGUAAAUUUUGUUGUUUGUUCUCCAUUUAUGUCUGAUUGAUAGAUAUUGAGACUUUGCAGAUACUUACUUUGAUUUGUCUAUUUGAAGGAGUUGAAGAAAACGGAACCCUUGAGGAAAUUAGGGAGAGAAGAUCAGACUUUGAAAUCUCGGAAGAUGAGAGGCGGCGCUCCAAAAUCGGGAAUUUGAAGAAGAAAGCGAUUAAUGCUUCCACCAAGUUCACUCAUUCUUUGAAGAAAAGAGGGAAAAGGAAAAUUGACUAUCGGAUUCCUUCAGUCUCCAUCGAAGAUGUACGGGAUGAAAAAGAGGAAAGCGUUGUGCUUGAAUUCCGCCGCAACCUUCUCGAGAGAAACUUGCUGCCUCCUAGACAUGAUGAGUACCAUACUCUUCUGAGGUUAGUUUGUCCUUAUUUAGCAGCUACAUAAACACUCUGGUCGCUUGAAAUAAAAAUGUGAGUAGUUGUAUAUAAAGUGGAGCUAACUAACCAUUCAUUUUGAAAAUCUAGAUUCUUGAAAGCGAGGGAUCUUAACAUUGAAAAAACUAUCCAGAUGUGGGAAGAAAUGCUUAGAUGGAGAAAAGAGUAUGGGACAGAUACCAUACUAGAGGUAAGCAGUCAUAGAUUUAAGUUUGACUCCAGCUUCUUUGUUGUUCCAUAUAAAAGAGAGAAGUAAUUUUCGUGUUAGUCAAUGGAUUCAACAUCAAGCUCUUAUGUUCUGAUAAUUCUAUGCAUUCGGAUGCUAGGAUUUUGAUUUCAAAGAGCUGGAAGAAGUUCUGCAAUAUUAUCCUCAAGGGUAUCAUGGAGUUGACAAGGAAGGAAGACCUGUCUACAUUGAAAGACUUGGAAAAGCUCAUCCCGCUAAGCUUAUGCGUAUCACCACCAUAGAUAGAUAUCUCAAAUACCAUGUGCAAGAGUUUGAGAGAGCUCUCCUUCAGAAAUUCCCUGCAUGCUCGAUUGCAGCCAGGCGUCGAAUUUGUUCCACGACUACAAUACUAGAUGUGCAAGGACUGGUACUUAUUCAAGCUAUUCCCAAGUUUUGGAAUUUUUCUUGCACUGUAUUAUGCUCUGAAGCAAAAUUUACUUUUUUAGCGCUUCCAUAUUCUUAGCUGUGCAGUGUCAUGUUUAAUCACAGGGCAUGAAGAAUUUUACACCAACAGCUGCAAAUCUUGUGGCUGCCAUGUCGAAGAUUGACAACAACUACUAUCCUGAGGUACUUGAGUUUCUCAAUUCAUAUGUCAAUUAUUCUUUGCAUACAUACCGGGUUGUUGCAAGUCAUCAUAUCAUUUUGCAGACGUUGCACAGAAUGUACAUUGUAAAUGCUGGGACAGGUUUCAAAAAGAUGCUUUGGCCUGCUGCUCAGAAGUUUCUUGAUGCAAAGACCAUCGCAAAGAUACAUGUACAGCUUUCAGCCUAGUUUUUCUCUUUGGUCAACUUUUGCCAUGUGUACGUUAUCUUAUUUCUGUUGCUGCAGGUGCUAGAACCUAAAUCUUUGUCCAGAUUACACGAAGUUAUUGAUUCAAGGUAGUUUGCUUUUCCAUUCAAACCGCACCUGACAAAUUUCAAAUAUCAUUUGUAGCUAUUACUUACCAGCUCCAUCGCUCUGUGCUUUUAGUCAAUUGCCAGACUUCCUCGGAGGCUCAUGCUCUUGCUUUGGCGAUGGAGGGUGUCUUCGCUCGAAUAAAGGACCCUGGAAUGAUCCUGAAAUAAUGAAGGUAAAAAUCUACAUCCUAUUAAAUUUUGCUUUUAAAUUUUUGGGCACGCUGUUCUUUCCUUACGAACUUUUAAGUAGGAGUCAGCUUAUAGUCCGGGCUUGUUCAUGAAGAUCAUUUUAAAUCUGUGCCUUUAUUAGCUCAUCUAUCAUGGAGAGUCAUCACUCUUUAGACAAAUCACCAGGAAGCUGAGUGACCCACAGAAUUCUUCAUCCUACAUAAGUAUACAUCCAUCGAAGGUAAAUGGCUAUAUCAAGCCAAUAUCUGUUUGUUUUGGAAUUUUUGUUUUUUUUUUUGUUUUUUCCAGGUAUAUAUGACAAAUUCAAAUUUGAAUAUCAGGCUAUGCAAGCUGAGACUUCUGCAGCAGAAUGUGUAUCUUGUUCUGAUGUUCCUACUUCUCUAACUGGAAGGGUGUGCGCAGCCUCUGCUCAUGUGAAUCCAGCUUAUGAGGAAGUGAGUUCUUGUGUUGGUACAUUUUGUGUCACAGACCACACUAGUUAUCUUAUCACUGACCGGAAAAAUAUGAUCUAUGCAGGCAAGGGCAUCAGAUGUUAAUGGCUAUUAUAGUUGCGAUGACAAGUUUGCCAUACCUAACAAAGCUACUAACCGAAAAGGCCAAGAAAGGCAAUCCCACUACCAAAUGCUGGAACUCAAUCAAACAACACUCGGUUUAAAACAUGAAACAUCUCCACCAGGUUAUACUGCUAACUCAUGCUUUGCUGCUAAAAACAUAUUCCUUUGUAAUUUUCUCACCUUUUGAAUUUCAUCUUCCCUCUGGUACCUUCCAGGUGCUCCCAUCAUACGAUGGCUUCAUGAUUUAAGGGGAACAAUUGACAGCAUAAAAUCUGAGAACCUAGCCAAAAGGGUACUCUCGUUUAUGCUGAAACUAGCAGCAGUUUUCCGUUAUAUCCCGUUUGAGCUUUCGAGAAGACAAAACACCGUUACUCCUUCAAACCCAACAGAAGAUAAUAAUAGGAGAAGCCUCAUUCCAACUUCUACAGAGCUCACAAUGAAAGACCGGAUUCUUCCGUGUUUGGAGCGUAUUCAGAAGCUGGAGAAAAAGUAUGAGGAAAUCCGGAACAAACCCGUUGAAAUUCCCGUAGAGAAGGAGAGAAUGCUGUUGGAUUCUCUUGACAGAAUAAAAUCGGUUGAGUUUGAUCUUGUUAAAACAAAGAGGGUAUUAUGAUUUUCCUUUGUUUUUCUUCACAAACUUACUUAGAAUUACAGUAUGGACUUGACAUGUUCGAUGGUUGCAGGUUUUGCACGCCACAGUGAUGAAGCAGAUGGAAAUAACCGAAAUGCUGGAAAGUUUAAGAGAGUCCCAACUUCACGUAAGUCCUCGAGAUUAUGACGCUAUAGUGAACAAGAUUUGCGAUGAGCUAACACCUGCAGAUUGUUGUUUGUGCAGAGAAGAAGAUUGUUCUGUUAGAAACCAUUAGAGAACAUCUGAGUUUUGCAUAAAAUACAGCUCCAAACUUCUGCACAUACAGAGAGAGAAAAAAAAUCCAAUAAACAAACGGUGUUAGUUUCUUAAUCUCCUUCCUCCUCUAACUUCUGUUAUCUUUCUUUCCUCAUAGGUCCAUCUGCUUCCACUUUUAAAUUAAAAAAGAAGAAGAUAGGGACAGUGAAAAUCUUUGAUGUUCGAUCUUGUCGUUGAUAAUGUAGAUUGAGAUCAGAGUUGAAGUAUCAAGCUGAUUUCCAAACCCUUUUGUUGUAAUCGGUGUAGAGAAGAAACUACACUAGAAGAAAAAAAAAGAAUCGUAUGAGAUUUUGUAAAUCUUUUUUAAGGUAAUAUGAUGAGGAAAACACUACCGAGUCUCUAAUGUCUUUACUCUAUGAAGAGAAUCCAUUUGUUUAACAUGAACGCAACAAGAAACAAAAUUGUGAAUGGUUAUACUAUAAUCAUGUAGUACGAUUAUUUAGGAAUCUGGUGCAUCUUGUAGUUGUUAUAGGUAGAUUGUGUAAAAUAUUUACAUAAUUCCAAAUAUCCGAAUGCAAAUGAUAUAAAAGUCAAAUCAGCCCUCGUAAACUUGAUUGAAUACGAGAGACACCCGAAUUAUGGAAGGGUAAGAUUGUAAACAAAGGAUGAUGAAAGUGUAAGGAAUUUUAAAAUCGGGGAAAAAUCGGGACCGUCCUUUUCCACUGAUGUAAGCCUGUGAACGAAGAAGAUAAAUUUCCCUGUCUUCUCUCUCUCUCUCUCCUUCUCCGUUCUUGUUUUCUGAAUUCGCUCGAAAUCGAUCUCAACGCCAAUCCAAUGAUGUUUUAUAUUCGACCCCAAACUUAAAUUUAGAAACCACAAUUUCUCGAAGUCAAUCCGUUUUCAUUUUCACGAAUUGCAUCGCCAGGUGAAUUUGUUGAUCCUAUGUUUUGUACGCCUUUGAUUGCCAUGUUGCUGAGUUUUUGGAAUCGUGCUCCGCUUUUGUUCUUAAUUCGAUAUCACGAUUGCUUACGCAUGUGCGGGUUUUCAUUUGGUUUCGCUUUUCCCUCCGCGGCUUUGUGAAUUUGAACUUUUAGUGCGUCGUAGCCGAAUCAGGGGCUGUUUUCUUCGUUUCGUGUGGGAUGAGGCUACGAUUUUAAUAUUGAACUUGGGAAUACACUUUAAUCUUUGUCCAGAGGGCUCCUAGUACCUAAGCGCUUUGCUUGUUGGAUAUUGUUACUCUCUGGCAUAUUGUCUUGACUAUGAAUUCGCUAGAUCUUGUUUUAGAUGUUGCAGCUCAAGCAAUAUGUACAGAUAGUUAUGGUCUUUUGAAGUCUUACCUAAGAUAGUGUCUUUAUAUGUUAUUGUUCACUUUAGGUCCCUAUUUUGAGCCUCAUCCUUGUGAGUAGGAAUAUUAAGCUUCCUACUAUUGUAGCUUCUGUGGUCCCUUGCUUUGAGAGUUCAGUAAUAGAGGUACUUUUCUACAUGUUAAGGCCCUGUUUAUCAACUAAAAAAAAUGUCCAAUUACCACCAAGAGGAGGAUGCUGAUUACAUGGACGAUGUGGAUGAUGAAAUGGAUGAUGUGGUUGACGAUGAUAUAGAUGACGAGUUUCGCGGGGAUGAUAUGGUUGCAUCGGAUUCCGAUGUCGACGAGUUUGACUACUCAGUAAGUGUGCCUGUACCUGUAAGAAGUCUAUUAAUGUAAAUUUAUUUGUGCCAUUCUUGAAUGCUUUAUGUGAAUUGUAUAGCUAAUAAUAAUAUCGGUUCAUAAUUAGGAAUUCAGUUUUUUUCGAUGUUGUUGCAAUCGCUUACUCUACUGUGUGGACUCUUUGGUUUCAGAAUAAUAAAAUAGCUGACACUUCAGCUGAUCAAGCCCGGAAAGGGAAAGACAUUCAGGGGAUUCCUUGGGACAGGCUUAGUAUUACACGUGAGAAAUACAGACAAACUAGACUAGAACAGUACAAAAACUACGAAAAUGUUCCCAAUUCUGGGGAAUCCUCGGGGAAAGUAAGUCUUUCAUUCUCUGACCCUUAAGCCUUUGUCGACUUGUUUUACUAGUAUUAGUUUACAUAUCAUUCAUUCAUUUGUUUAAUGACCUCAGGAUUGCAUGGUCACGCAGAAAGGGGCCAUUUUUUAUGAUUUCUGGCGGAAUUCAAGAUCUAUCAAAUCAAGUAUUCUUCAUUUCCAGGUUACCAUCGAAGCAUAGCUAUUUUUGUUAUUCAAAGUUCUUUUUGGUAGCUCAGUCGGUAUGCCAUGUGUUUGGUUUAUAGGAUGUACAAAUUGCUACAACUGUCCACAAAAGUUGAAAGAAAUUGAUUCGUAGAACGUUUGCUGUGCUAAAAAGCAUGUACGUGGACUUCUAAUAAAAAGUCGUUUUCUUUGGUUUGUAGUUGAGGAAUUUGGUUUGGGCAACUUCUAAGCACGAUGUCUACCUUAUGUCACAAUUUUUGGUGAGCCACUAUUCUACUUUGACAUCUGGAAAGCAUGAAGUUCUCAAUGUUCAAGGUCAUGUUUCCCCAUCCGAGGUUAGUUUCUUCUGGAAUCGUGAAAGAUUCUUGUAAAUCUACAUCAGUUAAUGAUGAUUUUUUCUUUCUUUUCUUGUGUGGGUGCAGAAACACCCUGGAAGCUUGUUGGAGGGAUUUACGAAGACUCAAGUGAGUACACUUGCAGUGAGAGAUAAAUUUCUAGUUGCUGGCGGAUUUCAAGGAGAACUUAUCUGCAAGGUAAGCUCUAGAGUUUUACGAAUCAUGCAUUUCACAUACAUGCAAUCUGAUCAAGGAACUUCAUCUGUUUCCCCAUUGAUUUGAUUCAGCACCUUGAUAGACCUGGUGUGAGCUUUUGUUCACGUACAACUUAUGAUGAUAAUGCUAUCACCAAUGCAAUUGAGAUUUAUAACAAACCCAGGUAUUUACUUGUCUUUUGGUCGAUGUAGUUUUUGCCAACUUGGGCAAUUUACAGCUUCUAACUUGCCUUUUGGCGUCUGCCUGGCUUCAGUGGAGCGCUUCAUUUUACCGCAUCAAAUAAUGAUUGUGGAGUCAGAGAUUUUGAUAUGGAGAGAUAUCAGCUUGUACACUAUUUUCGCUUUCCUUGGCCAGUGAAUGUAAGUUCCUUACUUGUUUCUUGAUUCAUUGUUUCUGCUUUGUCAUAAGUCGAUCAGUCACACUUGGGACAGUAAGUUUAAGUCAUAACUACGGUAUGGAAUCUGACAUCUUUUACAUCAUGAAUCAUUUAACUAAAAAAUGGAUCAUUUUUUAUUCUUGUCAGCACACAUCUCUGAGUCCUGAUGGUAAAUUAUUGACGAUUGUGGGAGACAACCCGGAGGGCCUUCUCGUAGACCCCAACACGGGAAAGGUGCAGAUACUAUCAUCUCUAUGUUCAAUUACUAUGAAAUAAAUACGCUCUUUCUUUCUAACUCAAUUGGAUCAUUUCCGACAGACACUGGGAACGCUAGCAGGACACUUGGACUUUUCCUUUGCAUCGGCAUGGCACCCAGAUGGGGUCACAUUCUCCACAGGUAACCAAGACAAGACAUGCCGGGUUUGGGACAUACGUAACCUGUCUAAAUCUGUUGCUGUCUUGAGGGGUAACCUCGGGGCAAUCAGAUCCAUCCGCUACACAUCUGAUGGGAGAUACAUGGCCAUGGCUGAGCCGGCAGACUUUGUGCAUGUCUAUGACGUCUCAAAAGAGUAUGAAACAGAGCAAGAGAUCGAUUUCUUUGGGGAGAUCUCGGGAAUAUCCUUUAGCCCUGACACAGAAGCGCUCUUCAUCGGUGUUUGGGACCGCACUUACGGUAGUCUCCUUGAGUAUGGUCGGCGCCGUAACUACUCCUACCUUGAUUCAUUUCUUUAAUCAUUCACUCACAAUAAUAAAAGAGCGUUCCUCACUCUCCCGUGGCUGGCUUUGUUCAACCGAGAAACCCGACCAAGAGAAAACGUUAAAAAGUGUAUAACUGAAUCUCUCUAAUGGUGUAAAUGAUGUGUUGUGCAAUUACUAGUUAAGGGCCAUGGCUAUGGGUAUAGAAAAGAAACAUUUGCCUGAGCCCAUUUUUUAAUAAAAUUUUGAAGACUCCAUUUGAUUAAUUGCUAAUUUUUAAAAUUUUCAAUUGAGUUUUGUUUACAUUAGCAACUAAUUAAAAAGAUUAAUUUAAGUGGAGUGAAUAGAAAUUAGGCGCAUUUGUUUUUGCAAAUCUUGUCCCAUGGCAAGUCUGAGCGUUUGCAUCUAUAUCAAUUAGAUAUGGAUUAAAACUAACAAAAGAGAAAGUAAGGCGUUGAAAGAAAAACCGUGUAAACUACGAGGGCUUCAACAAAAACUAUAUGACUGAAAAAUCUCAUAAUCCAGAAAGAACCAACGAGAUAAUGCCACAUCAUCAACCCGAAAUCGUAUCCUCACAAACAAAAUCCUGUUUCGUCUCCUGAUGACCCAGAGAAGCCAAAACCGAUCCCUAAGAUCAUAAAUCCAAAACCACUCAUUUCUAAUUUGCACUCCAAAAGAAGAAGAAGAAGAAGAAGAAGAAACAAUGGCGACAAGUGCAUCUGCUUUGCUCUCUCCUUCAACAUUCUCCACUGCAAUCUCCCAGAAAAACCCAAACUCCAUCUCAUUCCAUGGCCUCCGUCCUCUCCGCCUCGGUGGCUCCUCCUCCGCCUUACCCAAGCUCUCCACCACCACCGCCGGAAGAAAAUCCUCCUCCGCCGUCGUGAGAGCCGAGCUAAGCCCAUCCGUCGUUAUAAGCCUCAGCACGGGUCUCUCCCUCUUCCUCGGCCGAUUCGUUUUCUUCAACUUCCAGAGAGAGAAUGUGGCCAAACAGGGCUUGCCGGAGCAGAACGGUAAAACCCACUUCGAAGCCGGCGAUGAUCGUGCCAAGGAAUACGUCAGCCUCUUGAAAUCCAACGACCCGAUUGGAUUCAACAUCGUCGAUGUUCUUGCUUGGGGCUCUAUUGGCCACAUCGUUGCUUACUACAUCUUGGCCACUUCUAGCAAUGGCUACGAUCCCAGCUUCUUUGGCUGAUAUUCAUUAUUCUCCAAUCUCUGUCUCCUAUAUGAAUGUAUAUCUUUGACUUGUAUCGCAAGCUAUCUAAUAUAUUCUCUAUCUUUGUUUCUU
rnacentral:lncRNA from 1 species